CUGGAAUCUGUGGUUCGGUGAGUAUGUUGCUCAAAAAGGGGGACCUAAGUCUUCCAGUUGCCUAGAAUAGUCUUGGUCUAAUGUUAUGGAUAUAUGGUUCGUUGUUCUACUUUUGUGGCGAAGGAUAUGAUGUCCUUGAUCCCAACUAAACCUAGAUCAAGGAGUUAUGAACGCUACUUGUUAUCCACCCAAAAAGGUUAUGCUUUAUGUGCUUAGGUGCUAACUUAUGCCUAUUUGUCAUGUUGCUGCUGCUAUGUUUCUGUUUAAUGUUAAUUACAUCUUUGGCUAUAUUCGUUUCAGUUUUCCCGUUUCAACUGCAUCUGUGCAUAUGAAUGUCAUUGCAUUUCAUCGAGGUUGAAUCUAGCUUGACAUUAGCCAAAAUUUUGCGACCCAGUGAACUGAACAAUUACAAGCUUGUUGCUUGUUAGGUUCUUCCAACCGGAGGAAGUAAAUCGGUGUCCGCUGAAAUGAUAUAUGUUGGAUUGGUCAGGACUCAAGUGCAGGAUUGCGAAAUGCAAUCAGAUUUGUUGCUUGUAGUUAUAUUUACCCUUGAUGUCUGUCAUGUCACUCCCCUGCACUUAUGGUUUGCUAGAUUUGACUUACAGAAUCUGAAAAGGCUUUUUCAAGUUUUUAUAUAGAAUACUUUGGAAAUUGUCUCACUGUACUGUUAUAGGAUGAGCCUAUAGUGGUCAAUCGCCCUUUUGUAAGCGAUGUGACCAUUAAGUGCUUGGAAUUGGAGAAUGUAGAAAUCUGGAUACCUGGAAAGAUUAUUUAGAGCUAUCCUAGUCUUUUUUGUUCUGAAUUGUCUCAGGAGUCGGUGCAGUGAAAGAUGACUGGAUGAGUUUAUCAGGGAUCUGCUUAGUGCUCAGAUCAUAUAGCUUCGGGCCUAAGCAAUAUGGAUGAAGAUUAUAGGGGUUCACAUCUAUGUGGAUUAUUAUGCUUUUGUUGUCAUGUUGGUGAUUGGUUAGCCUAAAAUGUUAAAGGAGUAAAGGGUAUUCUUUUUGGGAAUAUUUUUUGGUUGAUACUUGCAACCUGUUUGGAUAGCACAGAUUUGGGCCCAAACGGCUACCUAGAACAAUCCAUCUAAAGUUUGCUACUAGAAAGAUAACCCCUCGCAAAAGGGGGUUGCAGUGACCAGGCCCGGGUGACUGUUUACCAAAAACAUAGGUCUCAGCAAAGUCGUCCAUCAAAUGUGUCUGAAAAAGUUUGCAGUAUAUACGUGGCUAAGGGCAUCAGUUGGGAUAUACUUUCUUUUCUGUUUUCUUUUUUCUUUUUUUGAAAAGGGGUAAACUUUUUGUCCAUGUUAUCUGAACCAACUAGAAUCUUGUUAAGGAUGAUGAAACUUGUUCUUCUACUGGGAUUGGAUAAUCGACAUCUAGUUUUAUUGCUUGUACAACACACUAUUUGCAUGAGGCUCCUGAUUCUCUUGGGCUAGCAAUCUAUAGCAUGUCAGGCCCUUCAUUCUGCGACUCAGAUAGGCUAGGAUUCGUGCCUCAGCCGGAAGUUUUGUCAGGUGGGAAGGAUGGAAUUCAAAUAGUUCAUUUUGGUGACCUGAAGCCGUCAAGCGCUGCAUGUGUCGCCUCAACUACGUUGUCGUGCAUAGACAGCAGUUAAUCUUGAGGCUUUGCUGUCUGAUAGCUCGAACACGUUUCUCGUUAUGCUUAAUUGCAGAUGCCACGGGAGCCCAGGACCUUUAAAACACACAUCUUGUAUCUUACGAGUACGGGGAUGGUUGUUUCUUUAGUAGCUUCUAAAAUUCCGGUGACAUCGAAUGUUUAGGUACUAAGUAGGAGUAUUAAAUAUAAACUAAUUAUAAAACUAAUUGCACAAAUGGAGAUUAAUUUGCGAGACGAAUCUAUUAAGCCUAAUUAGUUCAUGAUUUGACAAUGUGAUGCUACCGUAAACAUGUGCUAAUGAUGGAUUAAUUAGGCUUAAUAGAUUCGUCUCGUGAAUUAGCCUCCAUUUGUGUAAUUAGUUUUAUAAUUAGCUCAUAUUUAGUCCUCCUAACUAGCCUUCGAACAUAAAUUUUAGUCGGGACUAAAGAUCCAAACACCCCCUAAGCUGCAUUCGUGGUUGCGAUUGGUACAGGAAUUAGGAACACUUGCAUAUCUUCACACACUAGGGGUGUGUUUGGUUGCUGGUAUGAUUUGGUUCAUGUAUGGAAUGGUUUAAAAUAAUAAUGAUCUGGGUGAAUUGUACCAACCCAUCCAUGAUGAAAUUAUCCUACUUAAUAUAUUAUUCUAUUAAAACAUGUGGAACAACUAAAUUGUUUGAACCCCACUUCCAUGAUCAUCCCUGCAUGCAUCAAGUGGUGCAUGCAACUUAACACACUCUAGUAUAACACCCGUGCUAAUGCUACGGGAAUAUUUUGAAGCCAAAUCAAACCACAACGAUAUAUUGUUUAUUGACAAAUCAAAUUAAUAGCAUAGCAUUACAUGACACUGUCUUUUAUAUCUAGCAUGUGAAAAACGGAGGGAGUACAAAUAAUAAGGCUCAAGAACAACUGAACCACCAAUGGUUCUUAACCAAGGUCAGUACUGCACCUCCCAAAUCCCGACUAUGUCCUGUGUCCUCAGUUGAAUACACAACUCAAAUCAGAUUUGCCGCACAGGUCUUCAAUCCUUGGCUAGCACCGAUUUCUUUUCUUAGAUGUUCUUCCAUUAUAUGUUGACUUCCAGCUCUUUAACCUUUUUAAAUGAGAAAAAAUAGAAUGACAAAAAAGGAAGCAACAAGGAAUGAAACAAAAUAGUGGCUGGACACAAUUAUUGACGAAGUUGAUUUGAUCAAAUGGCAAAUAUGCAAAUAGAGCAGUUACCUUCUGCUUACUUGAAGCACACCCUGCAUAUACAACAGAAAACUGAUUUUUGCAACAAUUUUGUUUUAAUGUUUUCCAAAUAGCAUAUGAAUCAAGCAUAUCGAUUAUGUGACAAUACCUGAAAUCAAACUUUCCAUUAAUAAGCUUCACUACGUUUAAUGACGAAAACCAAACUUCAGAUGUAGAAUCGGUGAGCUUUCAGGACAGUGGGAGCUUACCGUGUUAGGGGAUGGGGAUUUUGUCGAACAUCUUUCAAGCAGUGGAGCUGUGGAGGCAUUGUGGUUGCGUGACUUGUGUCAUUGCUUUCGCUUGCUUGCACGCCUGCCAUUCCACCCGUGGAGGCGGGGGCGAGGCCGGCGGGGACGAACCAAAUAAUAUUGACCGGAGUGAGUAAACAGAGAGAGGAUAUGAUGAUAGAAGUUUGCCCUUCAUUUCGAUAGAGUUGAUUUUUUGGUGCAAAGAUUGGGGUGUACAGAAGAAAACCCAUCUUUGUUGGGGACACAAGAUUGUGCGGCCAUAGAAAAAAUCGAACUGGUGCAUUAGCAGGGUAGAGUAGAUGCACACGAUCAUGCACAUACUAACAUCUUGAAAUAAUCAAAUAUUACCCGGCAUUAACGUUUCCGGUCACUGACAGUCUGACACCCUUCUUAAACCCAGGCUUGUCCUGGUCCUGCGUCACUGCUUCACACGAGCCGAACGGCGCCGGCACGGCGGCACUGCCGCGGUGCUGCCACACGCCCGCACACAGCCCAGGGAUUGUGGGCUCACCGUGACAUGGCCCACACGUCAGUGAGAGCCACCCCCACUCUCCUUUUUCGAAAGAAGAGAGAGGCAGAACAGAGCGGACCGGCGGCCGGCGACGGCGAGGCGAGCAAUCCCGCACAGCUACCAAAACCCUAACAAACCCCUUCCCCCCACUCGCCGGCAUGACCCCGGAGAGCUCGGCCGCCGCCGCCGCGACGGGGUCAGGCUCCGACGCCUCCGACGGCGAGGCGGACGCGGCCCGCUUUUACAGCACCCGCCGCAGCUCCCCCUCCCCUAUCCACUCCCGCCCCCGCUCUCGAUCCCGCUCCAAGACCCCUCCCCCCAACCUCCCCCCUACCGCCGCCGCGCUCCCCGCCGCCCCCGUCUCCGCGGGGGCCGAUGUCGCGGCCGCAUCCGACUCCGCCGCCGAUGCGGGCGCCGGCGGCUGCGCCCCGUCACCGAGGCGCAAGGACGGCAAGAGUCCCCCCGGCGACCACCUCGACUCCGGUGCGGACGCGGACGCGGACGCCGGUACCGGCCGCAGCGUCCCUUCCCCGGGGCGCCGCGGCGAGCGCUCCCCCAGCCUCCAUUCCGACUCGGACGCCGCCGCAGCCGGCGUCCGCGUGCCGUCCCCGAGGCGCAACCGCGAGCGCACCCCGCGCGUCCACUCCGACCCCGACUCCGACAACUCCAUCGCCACCGCCUCGGAAGAUGGUGGCGGAGAUGCCAGCGACGCUUUCCCGUCGCCUCGCGCGCGUCUAUCCACACACAUCAAGACCUCCAGCAUUAAGCCCAUCCGCACGCGCCCGAUGGACGUGUCCUCCCGCGAUGCCGCCGCGGCGUCCUCCGAGCUCCGCACCAAGCACCGCCCGGGGUACCAGAAGCGGCCGUCACGGGUAUGGAGCCCUGAAGACGAGGUCACCAUACUGAACGCCCUCAUUGAGUACCGUGCCAAGAAAGGCCGGCUCCCUGCGUCGUUUCAGGACACAAGCGAUCUAUACUUGCAGAUUUUUGGCCAACUCACAGCUAAUGUGUCCACUACCCAGCUUAGUGAUAAGGUCAGGCGCCUCAAGCAUAAGUAUAAGUUGCUGGUCAAACGUGCAAAGCAUGAACGGGAUCCUGACUUGCCGACAGAGCAUGACCAUAAUGUCUAUGAACUUUGCGAGAAAGUUUGGAGAUUGAAGAGUCUGGAAGGAGGGGAUGCAGAGAGCAAUGAAGAGCAGGAGAUCAAGGAGAGUGAUGAGGAAAUGGAGAAUGAACGGGAACACCGUGAACGCACGAGCAAGAAGCCAAAGACAUCUAGAUUUGAAAAUGCCAAUGGUAAUGCAACUGUCACUGCAGUUAGGGCUAGCCAUGGCAAUGGCAGUGGGAGAGAUGAUGCUGAGAAGGGAAAACAAAUGUACCCUUACCUGUGGGCGGCUAUUGAGGAGCUGUCCAAGGAGCAUCCUAGUGGACCAAUAUUCAGGAAGGCAUUUGGUGUACUUGAAAAGGCAAAGGCAAGAGCGAUAGAGGAGAAGCUGCGGAAGUUCAGAAUGUCAGUGGUUAGGCUGCAGCUGAAUCGGAUGGACUUGACAAAGUUGUCCGUGGGGAUGGUGCUUGAUGCGCUGGAGGGGCCACACUGAAGGUUGGAAUUGAUGUACUGACUGAUUCUGGAAUAUGUGGUUCGGUGAGUAUGUUGCUCAGAUAGGGUGACCUAAGUCUUCCAGUUGCUGCGAAGUCUCUUAUUCUCGUGUUAUGGAUAUAUGGUUUGUUGUGUCAACUUUUGUGGUGAAGAAUAUAGUGUCCUUGAUCCAAACUAGACCUAGAUUAAGGAGUUAUGACUGCUGCUUGUUAUCCUCCCUGAUAGAUUAUGCUAUGUGCUCAGGUGCUAAUUUAUGCCUAUUUGUCAUGUCGAAGUUCUGUUUCUGUUUAAUCUUAAUUACUUUAGCCGUAUUCGUUUCAUUCCGUUCCAACUGCAUCUGUAAAUAUGAACAUCAUUGCAAAUCUACCUUGGCAUUUACCAAAAUUUUGUGACCUUAGACUAUAUGAAUACAAGCUUGGUGCUUGUUAGGUCAUUCCAGCCGAAGGAACUAAAAUCAGUGUUCGCUGAAAUGAUAUAUGUUGGGAUGGUCAGGACUCAGGAUGCAGGAUUGUGAAAUUCAUUCAGAUGCAUUGCUCGUAGUUAUUUUAUUUACCCUUGGUGAUUCUCAUGUCACUCCCAUGCACUUAUGGCUCGUUAGAUUUGACUUACAUUUGAAAAUGCAUCCUCAGGUUAUAUUUGAUAUAGGUUCUGUUUGGCAGUAUUUGCAGCUCCAAGAAAUCUUGGAUCUAGAUCUGGUGGUACGUCGAGAGCAUUUAGAUGAAUUAUUUUGUUUAUAGUUUAGACUAAAUAUGAAUAUUUAGUCCACAAAUUGCAGCUCCAACCUAGACCUCAGAGCUGGACCUGUCUGUAAUGUUAAAGGAUGCACCUAUGAUCGUCAAUUGCUCUUUUGUAAGCAAUGUGACCAUUAAGUGCUUGGAUUUUGGAGAAUGUAGCAACUUUGGUGCCUGGAAAGAUUAUUUAGAGCUAUCCAAUUGUUUUUGUUCUAUUCGGAAUUGUCCCAGGUGUCGGCGUAGUGAAAGAUGACAGAGUUAGUUCAUCAAAUUCCUGCUUUGAUCGUAUAGCUUCAGGGCUAAGCAAUAUGGAUGAAGACUAUAGGGGGUUCACUUCUAUGUGGAUUACUAUGUCUCUUGAUUGGUUAACCUAAAGGCUAAAUUAGUAAAGGGGAUUCGUUUUUGGGAAUAUUUUGUGGUUGAAAACCUGUAGGGGCUGUUUGUAUUGGAUAGCACGGAUGUGGGCCUCAAUUCCUAGAACAAUCCAUGUAAUGAGUCUGAAAUUUUUUUGCAGUAUAUACAUUGGUAAGGGCAUCAAUCGGGAUAACCGUUCUGUCCAUGAUAUCUUAACCAUCUGGGAUCCUUUUUAGGACGAUCUUCUUCUGCUGCUGGAAUUGGUGCAUAGUUUGUAGGAGGGACAUCUGCUUUUAUUGUUUAUACAUACUUAUUUGUAUGAGGCUGCUGAGUCCUGACACGCUUGGGCUAGCAUGUCAGGUGGGAAAAGAUGGGAGUUCAUUUUGGUGACCUGAAUUAGCCAAGUGCUGCAUAUGUUUCCCCAACUAUGUUCAUUUUGAUGCUGGGAUCUCAGUUUGGUUGCUAUGAGCCUUAUGGUUGAAGCAGGAAAUUGUCUUAAGCUUCAUCUCUGUAUGGCUUAAGCUUGUCCUCCGGUAUAGAGGAAGAGCUGCCAAGCUCUGAAGAUGGUCUUCUGGAAGUUUUUGUGCAUAUCUUUUAGUUUUUUUUUUGAGGGGUGCAUAUCUUUUACGUAGUUCAUGUUUUGUAGUAGGCUGCAUAUAAGUGUCGCCAGUCUGGAAAUCGAUAGGCCCUUGAGAUGGGACUGAAGUACUGAACAGUACCUUUCCGGCAUGGCCCAAAGUGACACGGAAUCAGAUCGUCUGCAGUCACCGCACCCACAGUGACAACUCGGCAGUCGACUCAUCGACGCCGUCCGAAAUCGAUCCAACAGCGACUCAGACGAACCUCUCUCCCAGGUCACACAGCAGCAGGCCGAGUGGCCCAUCUCGGCCCAUAGCACCGAGCGGUCGAGGCGUCGAGCCUCUCUGCCGCCGUCGUCCUCGCUUGAUGCAGGCCCUCAUCACAUGUCGACCUCCAGGAGGACGCGGCUGCCCUGUGGCUGUGGCUGAGCGCCUAGUGAGCGUUCCCAUCUUGCCUGCGCGACUGCCGCCCAUUCCAUUGCCGUCGAGCUUUGGUCUCAUGCCGCUCGGUGGUGAGACGAGGUGGAGCCUCCCAACGCAUCGAGCUGCAGCUGCAGGGCACGGCCACAGAGCCACCAGACCACCCUGAGCGCAGCCAGGAAGCUCCAUAUGUUCUGUAGCGCAGCCAGGAAGCUCAAGCUGGAAUGCUUUGCCUGGUAUUCUUUAAACUGUGCAAGUGCUAGCAAGUUGGGCAAAUUGUGCAGGUGCUAGCAAGUUGGGCAAAUUGUGAUGGUAUGGGACACAUCAAAGACUAUAGAAAUUGUAUAGAUGGCAAAUUGUUUUCUAAAUUGUGCUAUCACUGGAAUGAACAGAAAUUUGCAGAACUCAAAAUGUUGUAUUGUUCUGUCAUACUGAAACUCAAAAUGUUGCAGAACUCAAAUGCUCAAGUGCAUUGAUUUCUAGUACUAGUACAACAAUUGAUUUCUUCCUCAACUUGCUUGCUAAGGAUGUCAAGUGUGUUGUUUACUAACAGCAGCUUGAAGUGCCAAAUUCAAAAAUUUGCGAGUCAUGUCUUUGUAACGAAGCAUAUCAUUUAAUCUGGGAUCCUCUACUAUUACAUAUAGUUAGUGAGCAUUUUAGCAUCAACCUAGAAUAUGUUUGCUAUUUGUUCUUUUGAAUCCAUCUAUAAUGCAUAUUGGAAUGACGGGUUCUCGGCAAUUCUAUUUUAAAAAUACAUAAGCAUGGUUCCUGCUUGACCAUAUGCCAUCUCCCGUUGGUGCUUGCCCCAUAAAUAAUUCUUGUGGUCAUGAAGAGUGUACUGAGAUUAAAUGACCUGCCAACUUGGAUACUAGCCAGCUCAUGUGCAGCUUUAGGUCUAAUUCCCGCAUCGUCAGCUGUCUCAAUUUCAAAACCUUGUAACUCUGAAAUUUUCCUUUGAGACACCAUCAAGUACGAGGUUUGUGGCAACUGAAGGAUGUGGUUGUGUUCCAAAAUCAGAUCAGCCACUUUAUAAGUUCCCUUCACCUGGUCCAUUACAACAGCCAUGGGAGCUUGACAAUUAGUUCAAGUUUCAGCUCUUGGACACUUUGUUAGACGAUCUCUUUUAUCUUCCAAUCUGUGACCUUCAUUUGCACAAACAUAUCUACAAGACCUAACCUUCCCAUCUGACUUCUUUUUGUCCGUGUACCUUUUUCUAACCUCAAUUCCUUUUUGACCUCCAUAGCUAAUCCAAAACAUCCACGCCUCUUCUAUAGUGUUGAACUCCAUGCCAACUUGAGGUACCAAACUAGGCAGCAAGCCCUCCCUACAAGCAAAAAAGACAGGUGAUAAUUGAACACCUAAAAUCUAUCUGAUCUCGUAGUAAAGAAGCAACAAACGAAGGUCAUACACACCCAUUUUCUUCCAUCUUGCAGAUGCAGAUUUCCUUCAAACUGAAGUUACAUUCAAUCAAUUCCAACACAAUCUAAUGAGGGAGGUGGAAGCCUGGAAGGCAGUCAAAUUCCGCAGUCCAUACUCUAAUUUGACGGCUCGCCCUCGCGCCAAAAAAUGAGAGCAUUCUUUUUUUUUUUGUCGCUUAGUGUCGGCAGCGUCCUUUGUGUGUGGAUCAGUGCUCGAAUGAUCGAACGGUUCUGUUUCUCCAUAAAAAAGCUUUCAGCGUGACGUGGUUGCGUGCUCCGACUACAAUUGGACGAACUCGGCCAGUACGUGCCCCGUGAUUGGAGAUAAACCGUUGGCGGCGGCCAGGCCAAACCCUUCUUGGCUCCAAGCGUUUCGUCAUCUUGUUUCGCGACCCGGUACGGAUCGGACGAAGCCGCUGCCGAGUGAUUGGUCAGUGCAGUUAGCGAAGCAGUUGGGCAAGUAUCCACGGGCCAAGGAGAAUGGUUCCUGCAUCUUCGCUCUCUUCUCCAUCGAGUUCCCAGUAAUUUGAGCUAGUGGCAGCCGGGCAGGGGAUGGCCUGCGCGCGGCUGGCCGCUGGGCGGUUUGGCUGGCCUCUGAAGUCUUGUUUCCGGCGAGUGAGAUGUCAUGACAGCAGCAUUGCCUAAUGCCUAUGGCCGAGGACUUUUUUUUAAUAAAAAAACCGCCAACAGCUUUGCUGUCCGGCAUAGAAGAACGGCUGAGGACUGUGAUAAACGGAACAGUUUGUUUUCGUUCAUGCAAGUGCUAACUUCUUUGGCUCUUGUGUUGACAGUGUUGUCGUAUCCAAGUAUAAUCACCAAGCAACCGGUAAUUUUUCGAUCUGAAUGGUUUGUGCUGCCGGCAGUUUAAUACGACACUGGGCUUGGGCUCAAUUUUAUUUGCUCGGGCCGUAUUCGUUACCAAAAUUUAUAGAGAUUUUUUUUUAGUAUUUAGAUUCAAAAUAGGCUGUGUGCACUUUUCAUGCAGAGGUCGCGAGUGAUUUCAAAAUGGUUGUCAUCUCGAUGUUAUUGUCUUGUUAUCUACAAAAGCUUCUUUUUACUGAAAAAAAGUGUGCUCAUGGAGUCAGAUAGGUCCAUUUGAAGCUUGGGCUAUGCCAACAAGGUCACAACUAUGAAUAACAAAGUUUGUCCUGAUUGCUGGAAUGGAAAUGGACGAUCCUCAUCAGACUAUCCUUCUGCAUCUGUACUUAUUGUUUUCCUUCCUGUAGUAAUCGCAAGUUUUGAUAUAGUAUUUUUUUUUUCGGGUUGUCGUGAUGCACUCAGUUAUGAAACGGACAGAAAUUAGUGUGUCGAUCCGUACUCGAAUGAUUGCUCGAUUAUGUUUAUUUACAGAAAAAAAAACUUUCAGCAUGAUGUUGUCAGUGCAUUGAGUGAAGCAUUUGGACAAGUAAUCUUCGGGCCAAGGAGAAUGCUUCCUCGCUUCCUGCACUUGCACAAGUCGCUCAUGCAUGCAUCUCGUUCUCUCCUCCGUGGAUUCCCCAGCCAUUUGGGCAAGUGGCAUCCCCGCUGCCAGGCUCUUGCACGAGACGCAGGGAUGCCUGCGCGCGGCUAGCCGCUCGGCGGCGGGCUCGGUUGCCCUUUCACGCCUUCUUCCACUCAUGCAAAGUGUUUACUUUUUUUUUUUGCUUUUGCUGCGUUGUCGUGUUCCAGUAUCAUCACUUGCGUGGUGGACCGUACAUCGGAGAUGGUCAAUUCACCACAUCAACAGCGUGUGCGGUUGGAAAAAUGGAACCGUGGAUGAUCCAUCGUGAAUGUACGUACGUACGGCCGUUGCAUCAGCAGAAGAAGAUGCUUUGUGCAAAGGGACGGAAUGCAUAUUCUGCAGAGAUUCAGCCAUUCAGGUAUCUCAACUCCAGGAGAGCUUUCCGUUCCGACGAUUGAUUCGACAGGCUCCACGACGAACGCGCGACAAGGAACAGGCCAACUGACUGUACGUGAGCAAAAGGGAAAUGUCUUUGUCUGAGAUUCGGAAUCACAAAGGUCAAAAGCACAUCGACAACUUUUUCCAGCCUCAAGGACGCCCUGCGCUUGAUGCAGCUGCGUGAAGCACGUUUGGUUCUGAUUUCAGAGUGGCGAAGAAUGCGCGACAAGGAGUACGUACUGCACGGGAGAGAAAAUUCUUCCCGAAAAACCGAGCUGCUCCUGCCUAACAUUCGCCUCGUUCGGCUGGCUGCUGCUGCUCGGCUCUCUGCCGCAGCAGCUGCAGCACGCAGCAGCUCUCUGCCGCAGCAGUCAGAAGCCGAACGCAGCAGCCAAGCGAACGAGCUGUGGAUCGCCAAAGUCAAUAGCAUACGGGGAUCUGCCAGCCUCAUGGACGGCCUGCACGUCCUCCUCCUGCUGCUGCAACUAGUGUAGCGUUUGGACAAGCAACUAGCUGGCUAGUUUGGAUCGAUCAGCUCCAAGUGGCAAUGGGGGAUCCCUUGGCUAUGCGCCGAGUCGCAAUGGUGCCGACGACCUCCCCGGCCUUUCAUGCUCGGCGAACUGACAACGAAGCUCUCAAGUCUCUCAACUGACAAAACCUCUUCGAUCUCAGCUGUUGCUAUCGACAAGCCGAUCGAACCCAAGCAUGAUUGGUGGCUGUGACAGGUACUUCAGUGCAUUCUUAAAUGCUCUAAGUACUUCCUAAAGCCUUUGUCUUGGAGCAGAUUACUUGUAGUACUUAAGAAGAGCUCCAUAAGGAACUUCUGUGAUAUCAGCAAUCUGUGGUACUUUGGGCAUGAUCUCUAUGAAUUUGUCUGCACCUAAUACCAUACCAAAAAUUUCAGUCUCUACGACGGUUUCAAUAACAUUUCCGUCUCGAUCAUGAAAUAUCUAGGCUGACAGAAAAUUUUACUCCUACCCUUGAAAACCCUACCAUAAAAACAAUGCGCCCGCCGUCGAUCUUUGAAAAAAAAACGUGCCUGGCGUCAUCAGAAAGUUUUUGGAAAUGAGAAACCAACGGACUGCACGGAUCGUACAGACAACAGAAGAAGUCAGAUCAGCGAAGGUCGUCUGAAACCGAGAACCAGCAAUUAGGGCAGUGUCGUCACUUACGCGCAUAUUGUAUUGUGCAGAAACAGUCCAUGUCAAACUGAUAAACCAAAGUUUCUAAGUCGGAAGUCAGACAGAGAUGGUCAGUACCAAGAAUUAUUCCGACUCUGUACCACGUUUCUUUUUCUUUUUUUUUGAAACGAGACUCUGCAGCACGUUAUUAGUACCGUAAAUCCGUACAGAUUAAUCGGAGCAGGUUGCUGCAAAGAACGUUCAUGUUAGCACAUCUCCAUCAGAGCAGGCUGCGCAGAACGUUCAAUCAAACCAACAUAGACGUAAUAAGGGCAGUUGGGAUGCAGAAAUUCUGGAGAUUAAGCUUGUCCAAAAAGCAAAAUUUAUGUGUAACCAAAGUUUGAAUUGAGGGAUUCAAAAGUGCAUCUUUGAAGCACGGUAAAUCGCGUGCAACAAUUGGUAGAUUCCUUGAAGGUAACCAUCCAUUGACUGCAAAACUUUAAUUCAUCGUGGCAUACAACUGGACACUAUAUAAGAAACCCUCUCUUUCUGACUUGGGGAGGUUCUGACUUUAGCUUGUGAGUUUGAACACCCCCCCCCCCCCAAAUUAGUAAAUUAGUAAAUCAAACAUGAACACAUGGCUGAUAAACUGAAAGAGAUAUGUAGACAGUCAACCUUUCAAUGACAUGAAAGCUAGAGCUAGCAUAAAAGAGAAGAGAUAUUUUAUGGUUUUAGGAAAAAUCGCCCAUUGUUACAAUGAAGCUAGCUAGCACCAAGUCUGUAUGACUAUGUAUAAAUAUGAUAAUAUCCUUACACCAAUUUAGGACUAUAUUAGAGUAAGUUUUUUAAAUAGCAGGCUAUACCCUUUAGUGGAGAACUCUACUCAGCCGAUAUAGUGGCGGCAACUGCUAGAGCUCUCCGCUAGAAUAAUAUAUUUAGAAGACCUUGCUAAAAGCCAAAAAGACAAUUUACAGUUUCUAAAUAAAAAUCACCAGAAUUAAUAAAAAGAUCCACUAUAUUGUUUACCGGGGUAAAUUGGACUAAAAGCUUCCUUCCUGUGUCGAUCUUUAACCGCCCUUUAUUUGCCCUUUAUGUUGGUCCUACCACCACCAAGCAGAAGAGGAAGGUGCACAGAAGCAGUGAAGCACCACCACAAGUUGGCAAAUGCGACAAACAACAUAUGAUCGUCUGAAAAUUCUGAGCGACUGAAUUUUAGCUCCAUGCCAAGAGCACGCGAACCAAGAAUGCUGGCCAUCGUCGAACGAGCGAGCGAUUAUUGGGUAGCGUCUACGUUCUCCGAGACCACCAGGUCCACACACGAACGACGAAGCGCUACAGGGCUACACGCAGGGGCGAGAGGCAAUCCCCGCCGUGCACGCACGCCGUUCUCUGGUGAAAUUGCUGGGCACCGCGUCGACGUCGACGAUCCAUCGGUUGCCUAGCCUGUCUCUCUCGCCUGCUGGCUGCUGCAAACGGAAAAUGAUGGGCAUGCAUUCGAAGUUUUUCUCUGCGAAUAUGGUGGACGGCCAACCGCCACGACGCUGGACCGUGUUCGCAGAAAAUGUUAUCCUGCUGCUCGUAUCCGAUGCACGAACGAGAAUACAAUAAGAUCUUGGCGUGUAUGAAAAGGAUUAAAGGAGAUGGAUUAUUGAAGAUAGACGUGCUCACGGUGUCCAUAUUUUUGUGAUUUGGUGUUCAGUGACCUUAGCUAGAUCUCUGCAUUUCGUAUCUGACCCUUUGAUUCAAAAGAAAAAGAAAACAAAAAUAAAACUUCAUCUGAUGAUGAUGUUGCCUGCUCUGCUCUAUACUUUUUCUUGUCAGUGUCGAUCGUGGGCACAACACAAAGCAUCCUAAAAAAAACACACAAAGCGUCCUGGAAAUAUCUCUCUUUUUGCUUGGAUGCAUGGCCGCUAAGCGUGUGAGCUGCAACGAUGAAAUAUCUUCACAACUUGCAUUGUGCAGCACACACCAGCCAAUUCUUGUUCACGUUUUUUUUUUGAACUCAUAGAUACUACACGUACAUCACCUGCUCUCUGCAGUGUGCAUGCACCUGCCAAUGCCAUAUGCAAUUUCACGUGCCUCUUCGCACAAAUCUUUCAUCUGGCUGUUCCGGAUCACACGCUUACCAUUUCGUCGGCGACUCGGCGCCAUCUAGUUUGCAGAAGCAUUCACGAAACAGGCUCUGGGAAAAAGCCCCAGCGCGUCAGAGCGCCACCUAUAAUCCUGUGUGCCGCGCGGCGGCGUCCACAACAUUUCGCGGCACACGGCACACGGUGCGAGCGAGCGACGAGAGAGGAAUCCCUGGUGCGGAUCCGCCGGUGGUGUGGCCCGCGGCUCGAUCUGUAGCUGCUUUGCCCGCAUCCGGGAGAGGCUCCAGCCAGCCCGCCGGUGGUCUCGCUCGCGUUUCCCCCGCCGCACGGCGCCCACGGAGAAAUCGCGUGACUGCCCAGCCAGCCGCGGCCCUUGGCCCUCGUUAGGAGCCAGGGCCAUUUGCACACCCUGCUGCGCCGCGGCCGGCCGGGAGAGCCGCGGCCAGGCCAGGCCACCACCCGCGGCCACUCCUCCCCCUGCCCCCGCGCGCGCGUCCCACUUGGCCGUUGCGCUCCCCAUGCGCCAACUCCCCCCCAGCGCGCGCGCGCGGCCACCGUUCCCAACCCCACCCGGUCAGUCACUCACCCACCCGAAACCCGAUCGACCGGCUGCCGGCCCCUUCCAUGCGCCUCGCUCCCAGCAGAGCUGCCAGUAGCUGCUCGUCGGUGAAUUCUAAAUUGCGAACUCCGGCCACAACGAUCGGCCCUCGGUGCAUCGACGGAUUAUUUGUUGCAAAAGUAAUGGGCUCUAGUGUUCCAAGGAUUCCCUUUUAGAGCUACUACUCGCUAGUAUAUUGUUUGUCUCGUAUCAUCUGGAGGCUGGCUAGUGGUUUGUUGUGGGGAUUUCCCGGCGACUUUUUGGCGAUCUGGCGGCGCUUUUUAUUUUUUUUGCCCUCAGUAGUCAGUAGUGGCCGAGUUCACUGGACUGGGGUAGGUUUGUGUUCUCUGGUUGAUUGGCUGCUAAGCUAGAGAGAGACCAGGACCAGCUGUGACCUGAUUGAAAGAUACUCAGAUAAGAUUCAGUAAUCAUUCAUAGGUUCAUAGUAUAUUCACUACAUUGCAGGAGGGAAGGCCAUAAAGCUAAUGAUUAAGUUUAAUUUAUUUUGACACAUCUCGGUUGUACUCCCAAUGAGAUGCCUUUUACUAAAUAUCCAGUACACCCCAUGACCCUAUCUGAAUAAAGAAGCCGGAUGCAACAAGAUCAGCCGCCCCUACGCAUGUUUUCAUGGCGAAUGGAAGAGGCACAUUCAUUUUUUCCUGCUCGAACAAGCAGAGCAUUAUUGGGCGGUUCUAGUGUGUGCACAUUGUUGUAUAUGCAAAUGCAUAAGCAGAUACUCCUUACAUUUUGAAUUGUACGCCCGUUUUAGUUACUUUGACUAAGUUUAUAGACAAAUACACCAUAAUAAAAAACGUCAAACAAGUUUCAUCAAAUCCGCCAUGGAUAUAUGCCUCGAUAGUGUAUUUGUUCGGUAUCCUAGAUGUUAAUACAUUUUUUCUGUAAGCUCGGUUAAAAUUAUAAAAAGUUUGACUUAGGAUAAACUAAUACAACUGACGUUUUGGCAAAACGGAGCUAGUAUACAUUGCACGUCCAAAUUUGUGCAUGCAUGCAUUGUGAAUAUGUAUGAUUUACUGCUUACUGUGUUUGAAUAAUUAUCAACAUCAACUCGAGGUUCAACAUUCCUGUAUGCAGCUUAUUACCAUCGCAACACUGCGUCAUCAGCAACAGUGGUCGAGAAAACAGCAAAGUACAACACCAGUACUACACUUUUAUAAAUCUUUUGACAACAGCUACACUUUUAUAGCAUCUGGGGCAGCUGGAAAAUGGAAUAUUGAUCCUGCAUAGAUCCACGGGAUAUCUGCGAGGGAUCCAACAGGCAGCAUAGACCUGCAACAACAUAGCCCAAUUGGGCAAAUCUGGGCGCCUCUUGGUGCUUUCAAGCAGUAUGGAGCUGGCUGUUCACAGAUGGAUCGAGCACUGGGACGUGGAGUCCUGCAUGGACGCCGCCAAGGCAAGUGUACAAGCCACAGCCGUCGGGCAACGCUAGCCAGCUGCCUCUUCACGUGCCUGCGUCCUACCUAGCGGGCUAGCUGGUUAGCUUCUCCCUUCAUGGGCGGUCGGACCAACCGCGGCGCCGGCCCUUCCCGCAUCUGAGGAGGCGCGCGUCGCCGGCCCUGCUCGUCGACGGCGACAGCGCGGCGUGUCGGGCUGGCGGCCGGGACGAAGCAGGUGGCCGGUAAUCUCAGGGGAACGUGCGUCACACACUCGAGGGAGAGCUUGUGUGGUUGGUUGGUGGAUAGGGACGAAGAGGGUAGUAGAGCUCGGCGCAGGCCGCAGGGUAUGAUUGGCAGCGACGGGAAACCUGAUCGGCCGGUGCGCACGGCGGAGAGAGACACCGUCGGGGGUAAUAGGGAUGGCUUUUCGGCGAUGCCGACGUCGUUGGAACCAUAUGCCCCCCUCCUCGAGGAUUUUGCUGUUGAUGAUGUGAUAGCUGGAUUGAGCGUAUAUAUGCUGAACUAGGAUCGUUUCUCAGACAAAUUCUCUGCAAUAUUCUAUAGCCGAUUAAUGUUUUUGAAACAAGUAUUAUCGAGGUAUAAAUGUACUUGAGUAAAUUUCAAAAACUAUAGCUUCAAAACUGCAUUAUUAUUAUUAUUAUUAUUAUUAUUAUUAUUAUUAUUAUUAUUAUUAGGCAGUGCCGCAAAACAUCAUUUUGAUAUCGUAGAACUGCACUUAUAUAUGUUCCCAUUCCAUGACACAAAAAAUUGUACCCUUCAGUUCUUAGAAGUGAAACUUGAUGACACGCAAAGAUAAUAAUGAUGGUGUAGUUUUUUUAAACGGAUUUGUAAAAAGUAUAAUCUUUCGAUACGACAUGAUGACAAAAGGUGUAGUUUUUUUAAAAAAAAUUAAACCAUCAAUGCAUAUAUAUAAUUUUGUGUUACAUGACAAUAAAAAUAUGAGUUCUACACACAUGUAUACACUGUUGUGAAAUCUGCUUCCUUUGCUCUAGUAUAUAUUUCUAUUUUUCUUAAAGUUCACACUAUGAAAUGGGUGAAGCGCUUUCCCCAUCUUAGACUCCUAGAUUUUACUUAAGAUUUCAUAGCUGUUGGGUUGGAAUAGAGGGGUUUGAAAAAGUUAUGGGUACGUUGCUUUAUAUUACAAUAACGGUAUAGCCAUCCUUUUGAAAAAGUGAGAGGAAAAUUUCAUGAUUUGGAUAUAAUAGAGGAGUUUGAAAAAAAAUAUGGGUACUUUGUUUUAUAUUACAAUAAUGGCAUAGCCUUGCUUUUGAAAAAGAGAGAGGAAAAUGCCAUUAUUUGGAUAUAAUAGAGGAGUCUCAUAUCGUAGCCGAAGUUUGAGGUGAAAUGUAAGCGUGAGGUUGAUAAUCCUAAUCUUUAUAGUGAUUGGGAAUGUUACUUACAAUGGUUCAUAACUAGAACUAGAGUUUUGACAUUGCUCCAAAUUAACUUGGAUGCAUAACAUAGGCCAUAUUUUUGGUGGACCUUUUAAUAAAGAGCAGAAACCCUCCUUUGAUGGACUAAUCCUAUACUUUUGGUGGAAUAUUUGGAAGGAACGCAAUAGAAGAAUUUUUCAACUUGUUUCAAAGGAAGUGGCAGAAGUGGCUUCAUUGAUCAAAACGAUGCUCAACUCUACCAAACUGCGACAACAAGGGCAACAUCUUCAAUUAUUUCUGCGACUUCUACCUAAGCAUAGUUGUCUUGGGUUUGUUUUUCUUCUCCAAAGAGUGGUUUUUCUUGUUAUAUCUCUUUUUUUCUGGCGGUAGUCGUUGCCGGGGGGCUGAGUUGUAUGAACAGGACUUGUAGUUUUCCCUCCUCUCUCUCUCUCUCUCUCUCUCUCUCUUCUUGCCUUUUGUUCGUUUUCUUGCUUUCUUCUAAUAAAAAUUAGAACAAAUCUCUUGCCGUUCUGUUAAAAAAACAUAGGCCAUGGGGCUAGGAUAAAGUUUGAGCUCACAUGGAGAGGUUUGGUUUUUAAUGAUGGUACUUGGUGAUAGUAAUGAAAAGAAAUUGAGUGAAUUGCACAAAACACCACAUUUUGAGGUCAUAAUGUAAAAGUCCACAUUCAGGCACCUCUUGUAGUCUUGUACAUUACACAAGGUUUUUGCUUAAAAAUUCUCAAUUUGCACCACCUUUUAUCAAUAGACAACAUGGAGUUGCCUUGGACACACAUGUAAGCCACACAACGGAUUUAAGUUGCCAUAUGGUUUUUGGUUUAUAAAAUAAAAGAGCUUAGAAACCAUAACAAAUCAGUAACGUAUCAUGUCAAACAAGAAAAAAUUCUCAUCAUUAUUUUGAAUGUUGUGAUGUCAAGUGCCUCAAUUUAUGUACUAUGGUUUAUAACUUUUUUAUCUCAAAAAGUACGCAUGUAAAUAUUGUACAUACUUCUACUUUGACACUUGUGGUAAUAAACGCCCGUGGUACACUCAAACUUGUUUCAUGUAGCUGACAUCUUAUUCAAUUCUAAAAGGUGGUGCAAGGUAGAAUUAUUGAGCUAAACCCUGGUGCAAUGCAUAACAAAUACUUAAAAAUGUGGUGCAGUGUGGCAAUUUGGCGGCAAAACAUGGUGUAUUUUGCAAUUCACUCAAGAGAAAUAAUGCAUGGUGAUCAAAAGCAACUUACCCGUGUGGACACAUGAGUGGAGAAGAGUAGUCUGGUAGAAAAUAUCAAUGUGACGCCAAAGCGGAUUUCCAAACUUGAAAAUGGUAUCCCUACUAAAUACGGUGGCAAGAAUGGGAGGUCACAAAUAUCCUUCGCUUUGUCAGGAGAUAUGAUGAGAAUGGGGCAUGCCACUAGUAGAGAAUUGGCUUUCGAUGCGCCCCCUUUUGUCCCGGUUUAAAGUUGAUCCGAGACAAAAGGUUCACCAACCGGGACUAAAGCUCAGUCACUAGUGGGGGCUCACCAACCGGGACCUUUUAUCCCGGUUGCAAAGGCUAGUGGGAAAAAAAGACCAUGAGAGACCUUUUAUCCCAGUUUGAAACACCAAUCGGGAUAAAAGGGUCGAGAGCCUUUUAUCCCGGUUUGUAAUACCAACCAGGAUAAAAGGGGGUUAUUUAUCCCGGUUGGUGUUUCAAACCGGGAUAAAAGGGUCCCCAACGAGGUGACUGAAAGAGGACUAAAUCCCUCGAACCCUUUUAUCCCGGUUUGUAAUAACAGCUGGGAUAAAAGGGGGUCUUUUAUCCCGGUUGGUGUUUCCAACCGGGAUAAAAGGGUCCUCCACGAGUUAAUACAAAAGGAUAGCAUCCCCUAUAUAGUUAGAUGUGGUGUGUAGGUGGGAUGGCAAGGAAGCUACGCGCGAGGCUGGAGGUUGUGGGUUCGAAUCCCACGCAGCGCGCACGCGCAUAUUUCGCGUGAAAAAUCGCGUGACUUGUGACUUGUGACUUGACAAAGUUGUAGGAGAUCACGAAAGAUCCUUCACUUUGUCAAGAGAUACGAUGAAAAUGAGGACAUGGAUUUUUUUUGUUGCACAGUUUGAAAAACACAAGUUCAUUUUUCACAUGAAUAGACAUGAGUUUAUUUUUUAACCAGAAUUUUCUAGUCAUAUAUACUUUAAUAGGAUGUAACUUUUAUGACUUUUAAGUUUAGAUGCACGUAAUAAUAUCCGGAAACUUUGGCGAGGACAAGAUCCACUGUAAGUGCAAAGGAGACCGGUACCUCGCUCAACACGGUUCCCACAUCUUUGCGGACGAUCUAGGCAUUGUGGUACAUAUGUGAUACCAAAGCGGAUUCUAAAGAGGAAAAUUUGGAAACCACGUUCAUUAUGCUUACGAUGUCGAGAAAAAGUAUCGGGUGCUCGCGUCACUAGUAUCCAUGCUAAAAAUAGUGACAAGAACAGGAGGUCAUAAAUAUCCUUCACUUUGUCAAGAGAUUUGAUGAAAAAGAGGCAUGGAAAUCUUUUUCGCGCACUUUGGAAACACAUGCUCCACUUCUUUUCGUAGGAAAUGCACGUGCAUACUCUAUUUCUAUCAGAAAAUUAUCGUACAUGCUGUAACAAGGUGUGCCUUUAUAGCUUUUUUCAAUGACUUUUAAGUGUAGACGCACGCGCACGUCGCAAUAUCCAGAAACCUUUGGGGAGGACAAGACCCACUCUAAGUUUAACGGAGACCGGCGUACUCUACCCGGCCCGCAUCUUUGCGGACUGUCUCGGCGGUCGUGGUACGCAUCGUCUGCUGUCCCAUCCUUUCCACGUCCACCGAGUUGAGCCGACGAAUAUCCCCCUCCUCCCCUGCCGUGGCGUCGCUCUCACGGUGUCAGCCGGUCACACGUACGGUCCAGGUAAAACCCAGCUCGCUCGAUCGGUACACGGUCAUUCCAUCCAUCCACUCACCCAGUCACCCGUCCUGACAGCUUUGGUUUUGGUUUCAGCUCAUCUCGUUAUCCGCGGGCGCUCGCAUUUGCGCGGCGCAGAGCGGAGCGCGGACGGAGACCAGCCACGCGGUCGGCUCGGCCGGGCUGGGCUGCUGGCGCGCGCGUGGCGACCCUUGGGCGUGCGCCAAGGCCAAGCGGCCAAGGCAACCGCGUCCGCGCGCGCAGGCGCUCACAUGGUUAGGCAGCGGCAGCAGGGGUAGGCGAUCGGCGCGACGCCGACCCCGCGCGUGCUGCCGCGGGGUGUGGAGCCCGGAGCCCCCCCACGGGCAGUGACCAGUGUGCAGGACAGGAGGCGGCGGCUGCGAGCAGCCGGGCACGGUGCGCACCACGCGCCACUUCGCACCCAGCCCUUGGCGCCCCCGGCAAGGGCAGGUUCCCUACGCCGUGGGACGCGUAUAUAAACCUGGCCGCGGAUUGGUCAGUGUCAGUGGAGUAGCUAGUAAGCCUGCCACCGCCACCGGCCGCAGAUUGAGAUUGGAUUCCCCUGUCCGCUAGGUACAGUAGGUUAAAGAAUUCGACGGCCAGGCAGGCCAGUUGGUGGGAGGGAGGUGCGCGCGCGGGGGCUCGUGGUUUUGCCGUGACUUCGGCGGCCUUUUGGCGCUUUUCCGCCCGCUGUGUACGGCGGUGGCCGCUGGCCAGAAUGAAUGGUUUGGAGCCUCGAGCACGGCCGUGUCUCCGGCCAGGACGGCCGGCUGUCAAGAAGCUGAGAUCGCUAGGCUAGAGCAUGUGCGAGCAGUAGCGAGGUGUCGUGCCGGGAUUGGACGAUCGGUUGCUGUGCUGGAGGGAGGCUUUAUUUGCUUGUGGAUCGAUACGAAACUACCACUGAAUCUUGGCACGGGCUCGCGUACGGGUGCAAACAUGUACUCUAGCUAACAUGGAAAGCAUGCAACAUACUGGAUUUUCGGUAUCCAAGUCUCUGUUAAGUGAUGCUAUGCAUAAUGCAUGCAUCAGUAGUGUGCUCGCGUUUGUCUAGUUGUCUAUGCAUGCCAGCUUGAUGAAGGUACACUGCUCAUUUGCUCCACCAGCUACCGAGCUAGCGAGCUCACAUCUAUAGUUGCUGGUUGGCUACAUAAGCCAUGUCACGUGCCGUCGUGGUCCCUGCUUCAUACAGUAUUCAGUGGCAAGUAUCUUGACCCGGCCCGAAGAUGCAGGGGCACCCCGUGCCGCAUGAUUCCGUGAACGAGAGCUGCGUGCAUGUUGAUGCCAAGAUUCCUAAGAUGAUUGGCGCAUUGCUAGAAGAUGUUGGCACUUUUUUUUUCCUUUCGUGGGUGGGUCCAUGCACGCAUUAAAGCAAUGGACGCGAUACAAAGAUGGAAUCUGCUGCCUGAAAUUGUAUCAAACGGACCGACCGAAUCUGUAGUCUAAAUUGGAUCAAAGGUGCGUCUCGCAGCGGGCGGACUCUUUCUAUCGUUUAUACUUAAAAGAAAUAUAAUCUUCAAAAAUACGAGCAUCCUUCUAAGCUAAGGAUUAAUUGAAACCUGAGUGCAUUAAGUAAAGAACUUGCCUUCCAUCCAGGAGCUUUUGUCCCGAUUAAUUUUAGACUCGGGACUAAAGUGGCUUUAGUUCCGGAUAAAAAAUGAGCCACCGAAGAUCACCGACGGGGGAAGCUUUAAUUCUGGUUGUAAAGACCAACCAGGACUAAAGCCCUUUAGUCCCGGUUGUAACAGCUAGUGUUUUGUCCCGGUUGAAAACACCAACCAGGACUAAAGGCUCCCCUAAUCCCAGUUGGAAUUACCAACCAUGACUAAAGAUUUAGUCCCCCUAGUCCUGGUUGGAAUUACCAACCGGGACUAGGGGAGGGGGGACCUUUAGUCCCGGUUGGCCACCAAUCGGGAUAAACCACCCCUUUCCCGACCUCCACCUUAUCUUGCUCCUCUCCCUCUUCUCUCUCUCUCACUCUCACUUUUCUCUCACCCUUCUGCCCGUGCCGCUCCCUCCCCUCCCUCUCCCGCCGCCCCCUCCCUUCCCUCUCCCGCUGCUACCCCUUCCCUCUCCCUCUCCCGCCGCCACCCCCUCUGCUACCCUUCCCCUUCCCCCUCUGCUCACCCCUCACUGGCAGUGAGGAGCGGCAACAAGGCGAGGUGCAGGGCAGGAGUCCGAAGCUCCAGGCGGGCGCGGGCAGGAGUCCGGAGCUCCAGGUAUGCUUAACUCCUCACUGACGCUUGACUCCUCUCUAGGACGUGCUGGCGGGGCUCGGGACCGUUAUUUUCUUAUUUGUUUCUGAAACUUUUUAGUCCCGGUUGGUAGUACUAACCGGGACUAAAAGGGGUCUUUAGUCCCGGAUGAAUGACCCGGGACUAAAGGAACCCCCUUUUGUCUCGAAAACUUAAUCCUGAUUGGAUUUUUAGGAUCUAUGACCCUAUUCAACUGGGACUAAAGGCCCAUUUUCCACUAGUGGUAGGCACGUUCGACUACAAGGAACCUGAUCAACUAAAUUAUUCUAAGUUCACUAAAAAACUAAAUUAUUCUAAGUUUUUUAAUUUUAAUCUGUACAAAUACCAACCUACACUUAAUUAGGAAAUAGUUUCAAAAUCCCUUUCAAAAAAUUAAAUGGUUUCUAAAGAACAAUACUAUUACAUUAUUAAAAACAAAAACUGAGUUCCAAGAUAGUCAUGCUGUCUGCCAGUUCCAAGAACAAUACUAGGCCGGUGACACCAAGCGUUCCAGUAGCUAGGGCUUAACCUGAAAUAUCCAACUCUUGACGCCCCGUUUGUGGUUGGGGACAAUUUCAAUGAUUAGAUGCACUAUGCCUAGGUGGACAUCCUAAACAGAAAUAUACUUUGUUAUAUACUAGAACUGGCCAAAAUUUACAAACCUUAUACAAAAUAGUAUAAUCCAGUACGAACUUUCAAAGUUCGUGUUUUCAGAAGGGCUAGCUUUUUUUUAAGACUAGCAAAAUGACUUAGCAUCUUACCUUACUAGUGGUACGGAGAUGUUAAAUAACUAAAUAUGAGAAAUUCCUAUAAAAAUCAAGCACCAUUAAAAUUUUUACCACGGGAGUUAAUUUGCUUCUAAAUUACCCAUUCAUUCCACUAAAAUAGUAAAUAUAUAAAGUACCCACAUCCAUUAUUGUAAAAAUAGCAUAAACUAACCAUUAUUCUGCAUUCAAAUUAUACAUGGAUAUUUAACCUACAUCUAAAAUAACCCAAAUUACCAUUAUACGUGCUUCUAAAUACCAACUUUUGGAAGCUUGCAGUGGAAACUGUCCAUCCAGGUAAAAUCAGAAUGUUUCCACUAAAAUAUUAUGAAGAUUUCUUGUGGUGAAAUAUAUAUAUAGAUUUGAGCCUCUAACUCAACACGAAUGUUUGUAUCUGCUAAUUCUUUUUUCCAAUGGUAGGCGAUGGGAUCAUCAACAUCAAGGUAGCUGUGGUGACUUCAUGAGUCUGAAGAUUUGUUGAACUAGUAGUCUUUCGAUCGAAGAUGUUCAUAAGUAUAGGAUGUUCAUGUAUGAAUUCAGAGGGUUUUUGCAUGUGAGCAUUUUUGCACGCGUCCGCAUCUUUACAAUGUUUUAAAAUCACCAACUUCUGUCAUUUUCUACCUUUAUAGUUCUUCUCUAGUUGAAUUCAUUUUAUUUGAUUGCACUUUAAAUAGAAUCAUCUAUAUUUUUACUAAAAUAUUAUUACAUAUAUACAUUGAUGUUUUAAUCGUAAACACAUCAAUUAUUUUAGAAAAAAAUACAUGACUACACUCAUAGUUGUUCUAUAGAGGAAAUUUGAUAUCUUGGGUACUUUGGUGAAAGCUGAAACAUCUAUUUAUUCCAUUACAGUAACCAAGAGUAUAGUAACUAAAAAUCUAAAUUCUUAAUAGAAUCCAUAUAUAGCAUAUAGAAUAAUAGGUACAACAUGCUAUAGAGUUUCAAGUUAAUAUUUGGAGAAUUUUUUUUGGCAUACUAAUUGCAGUAGGUAAGAUUGAAUGGGAAGCCAAAAUCUGGAUUCAUGAAGUCACAAGAGAUGAGCUUGAACAAAAGCUGUCAUAAUUCAAGCUAAUUUUGAUUAAACAUAUAUCAAACGCACCGCGUUACGAUACAAUAGGAAAUAAACUAUGAAUGGGUAUUAAAAACAUACACAAUAAUUUAUAACCUAAAUAUAUGAUAAAGAUCACAGCGCAUUUAUGUAAUUAAUGCAUCUUAAAGUUGCCAUUAGUGGGGAAUGCAAGUGUUUUUCUCCGCAAACCCGCAUAUACCAUCUCAAAAAAUGACGUACAUGUACAUGCGGGUUCGCGGACAAGCCCAUUUGUAUCUCUAUUGCUAGCCACAUAGGAGCACAAGUUGAUGGAUUAGUUGAACACUAUCAGGCAACAUGUAAUUAAACAGUGUUUGUUUUGAACUUCGUGCAAGUGAGAUACUUUUACUUGGUCUCCAAAUGCAUGCAUUCUCUGAAAUUACCAAUCUUAUCCUAGUGUGAACCAACAAAAAUGUACACACAACCAGACCAUGUCGUUUCCAGGUUGGAACGCAAACUAAAUUGUCAAUCUUUGCAAAGCAACCAAGAAUUACGAGAUCAACAAUUUUUGUGGCGCCGAAGAGUGCUCCUCAAAGUGCCAAGCGUUAGUGUGCUAGCUAGGCCGUAACGAAACUUGUGGCGCAUACUGCCUUUUGAGGCGCCGCGCCCGUGUAUAUAUACGCCCCCUCAUGCAUGCUCUCCUUGAGCAGGCAGCCAGGCACGCACCAAUACCAAGCCUCUCCCGGGCCAGCUUCUAGCAUUGGCUCAUCACCAGCACUCCAGCAGGCAGGCAAAACGCAAGCAACACCUCUCCGCCAGACAUCAUGGCCGCUUCUGUCGAGCCGCGGCAGCAGUUCGGCCGCCUCGAGGCGGUGCGGGGAGCCGCCGCGAACGGCGCCAAGGCGUACCCUCCUCCGGCGAGCCACAUCCCUCGCCGCGCCGACUCUCCCGUGCGCGGCUGCGGCUUCCCUCCCCUCGUCUCGCCGCCGCGCACCAAGCCCGACGAGGCGUCGGACGACGAGGACGACGAGCAGGAGGACUGGCGCGAGCUCUACGGCUCCCACCUGCAGCUAGAGGUGGAGCCGGCGGUGCACGACUCGCGCGACGAGGGCACCGCGGACGCGUGGAUCGAGCGCAACCCGUCCCUCAUCCGGCUCACCGGCAAGCACCCGCUCAACUGCGAGCCGCCGCUGACGCGCCUGAUGCACCACGGCUUCAUCACCCCGGCGCCGCUCCACUACGUGCGCAACCACGGCGCCGUGCCGCGGGGCGACUGGGCGACGUGGACCGUCGAGGUGACGGGCCUCGUCAAGCGCCCCGCCCGGCUCACCAUGGAGGAGCUCGCCCGCGACUUCCCCGCCGUCGAGGUCCCCGUGACGCUCGCCUGCGCCGGCAACCGGCGCAAGGAGCAGAACAUGGUGCAGCAGACGGUGGGCUUCAACUGGGGCCCCGCGGGGGUGUCCACCUCCGUGUGGCGCGGCGCGCGCCUCCGCGACGUGCUCCGCCGGUGCGGCGUCAUGCCGCGCAAGGGCGGCGCGCUCAACGUCUGCUUCGAGGGCGCCGAGGACCUCCCCGGCGGCGGCGGGUCCAAGUACGGCACCAGCAUCACCCGGGAGUGGGCCCUGGACCCGUCCCGGGACAUCAUGCUCGCCUACAUGCAGAACGGCGAGCCGCUGCUGCCGGACCACGGCUUCCCGGUCCGCGUCAUCAUCCCCGGCUGCAUUGGUGGGCGCAUGGUCAAGUGGCUCAAGCGCAUCAUCGUCACCCCCGUCGAGUCCGACAACUACUACCAUUACAAGGACAACCGCGUCCUGCCGUCGCACGUCGACGCCGAGCUCGCCAAUGCUGAAGGUAAAAUCACGGAAGCAACACCAAUAAUCGUCAAAUUUCGAGCAUUUCUUCGCUAAAUUUCUGAGCAAAUGUGUGACUGUUAUUGCAAAUGCGCAGCGUGGUGGUACAAGCCGGAGUACAUCAUCAACGAGCUGAACAUAAACUCGGUCAUCACGACGCCGGGGCACGACGAGAUCCUGCCCAUCAACAGCAUCACCACGCAGCGGGGCUACACCAUGAAAGGAUACGCCUACUCCGGUGAGUUCUAUGCGGCCCCUGACUUUUCUUUCUUUUGACUAUGACUUUGCUUAGCUGUUACGAAUAUAUAUGAAACUUUGGCCCCGGAGUUUUCAUAUUCAUAUGGCGGUGCCGUGACACGGCUUACAUGACGCAGUGUGGUUUUUCAUCCAAGUUUCACCAGCAUAGACGCAAAGCAUAGAGAAAACCAGUUGUUGUUGUAUCCUUAUACAAUUUGAAAAACCUGUUCUUCCACCAUGCCCAACCAGUAUCUCCAUUGUUAUCUCAAAUAACCCUGUUUAACCUAAACAUAGCAAACAACUUAAGAGUGAUGCACACCUUAUUAAACUAGCUAACUUGUUUAUUGCCAUAUUCUUAGUCCAAGAAAAAAAUAAUCUGACUUAGGAAAUAUGACUAGUGCAGCCAUGAAGAGGCAUUCCUGAAGAAGACCUUUUCAUUCUAUUUUUCAGAAAGGGAACAUUUUUCACUAUAAAGAUCCUAAUACGUUGAACUGUCGAUAUCAUAACUAGCAGACCACAAAGUUUGAUUCUUUCACGAAGAAAGUUUAGGAGAAUAUGGAAUCUAACAAGGCAUACGUGACGUAACAAGAAACGCACUUUUAAUUUGGUAAAACACUGUACUUUUGACUGUUGAGGAAGUCUAGAUGACCAACAAGAGCACUAAGGGUACUCAACCAGCAAUUUGCAAACAUGGAGGACCCUUUCAUGAUUAUACUACCAGUCCCCUGGAACUAGCUUGGAAACCGGGUGCUGGAAACAAUGCACAAGUUGAUAGUUUGCUAUGCCCAACAUGUGCAUGCACUUUUCUGCUAGAGAAAGCGUGCACAGCCGUGUUGGCACUUCGUUGCAUCCAAAAGGUGCUCAGCUGAACACCACAAAAAAAAUGUUCCUUCUGCAAUGGUCAAAGAGGGCGCUGCUGAAUUUGUGUGGCAAGGGUGAGAAACGAACAAUAAGCUGUCACUGUGCCUCUGUUUUGUCGGUUACUGUGGGCUGUGGCAGCAAGGCAUGUAUAGGUUGCAACUGGUUCUCUCAAAAGAAAAAAAAUGUACAGUUUGCACCUGGGGGCGGCUGGGAAACAUUUGACAAGUCCACUUGUGGUCAAAAGGGGCUGCAGUCUAGGUGGCCAAUCAGAGCUAGAAUAAAGAUCCAUCUUCUAUCAGGACCUUUUUUUUUUUAACCUUUCCUGGCAGUCAAAGAAACUUACUAAUUUGGUAAAAAAAAGUGACUGAGGGUAGAAGUCGAGCUGAGCCUAACGACUUUUCUCUGUUUUGGCGCGUAGGCGGCGGCAAGAAGGUGACACGGGUGGAGGUGACGCUGGACGGCGGCGAGACAUGGCUGGUGUGCGACCUCGACCACCCAGAGAAGCCCAACAAGUACGGCAAAUACUGGUGCUGGUGCUUCUGGUCCGUCGAGGUCGAGGUCCUCGACCUCCUCGGCGCCAAGGAGAUCGCCGUCCGCGCCUGGGACCAGUCCCUCAACACCCAGCCCGAGAAGCUCAUCUGGAACCUCAUGGUACUUUGUCACUGGCAUCGUGCAGGAGCUCCAUUGAUUCAUGGCACUCUGUUUCUUGUGUGGAUUCUGAUGGUUCUCUGUUCGUUGGGCAGGGCAUGAUGAACAACUGCUGGUUCAAGGUGAAGGUGAACGUGUGCCGUCCGCAUAGGGGCGAGAUCGGUCUGGUGUUCGAGCACCCGACGCAGCCCGGCAACCAGACCGGCGGGUGGAUGGCGCGGCAGAAGCACCUGGAGACGGCGGAGGCCGCCGCUCCGGGGCUCAAGCGCAGCACGUCCACGCCCUUCCUCAACACCACCGACGGCAAGCAGAUCACCAUGUCCGAGGUGCGCAAGCACGCGUCGCAGGAGUCGGCGUGGAUCGUGGUGCACGGCCACGUCUACGACUGCACCAAGUUCCUCAAGGACCACCCGGGCGGCGCCGACAGCAUCCUCAUCAACGCCGGCACCGACUGCACGGAGGAGUUCGACGCCAUCCACUCCGACAAGGCCAAGGCGCUCCUCGACACCUACCGCAUCGGCGAGCUCAUCACCACCGGCACCGGCUACAACUCCGACAACUCCGUCCACGGCGGGUCCGUGCUCUCCCACCUCGCGCCCAUCCGCGAGGCCAUCAGGGCUCCCGCGCCCGUCGCUCUCUCCAACCCGCGCGAGAGGAUCCACUGCCGCCUCGUCAGCAAGAAGGAGCUCUCCCGCGACGUCCGCCUCUUCCGCUUCUCCCUCCCGUCGUCGGACCAGGUGCUCGGCCUCCCCAUCGGCAAGCACAUCUUCGUGUGCGCUACCAUCGAGGGGAAGCUCUGCAUGCGGGCGUACACGCCGACGAGCAUGGUCGACGAGAUCGGUCAUUUCGACCUCCUCGUGAAGAUCUACUUCAAGAACGAGCACCCCAAGUUCCCCAACGGCGGGCUCAUGACCCAGUACCUGGAGUCGCUGCCGAUCGGCGCAUACAUCGACGUGAAGGGACCUCUGGGCCACGUCGAGUACACCGGCCGCGGCAACUUCGUGAUCAACGGCAAGCAGCGCCACGCGAAGCGCCUCGCCAUGAUCGCCGGCGGGAGCGGGAUCACGCCCAUGUACCAGGUGAUCCAGGCGGUGCUGCGCGACCAGCCGGAGGACCAGACGGAGAUGCACCUCGUGUACGCCAACCGGACGGAGGAUGACAUCCUCCUCCGCGACGAGCUGGACCGGUGGGCGGCGGACUACCCGGACAGGCUCAAGGUGUGGUACGUGAUCGACCAGGUGAAGCGCCCGGAGGAAGGGUGGAAGUACAGCGUCGGGUUCGUGACGGAGGCCAUCGUGCGGGAUCACGUGCCGGAGGGCGGCGACGACACGCUCGCCCUCGCCUGCGGGCCGCCGCCGAUGAUCCAGUUCGCCAUCUCGCCGAACCUGGAGAAGAUGAAGUACGACAUGGCCAAUUCUUUCAUCGUCUUCUAAGACAGUAGCGGCCAACCAAUUAAUUUGGUACGUACAACGCACCACAUUUACUGUAUAUACAAAAACUAGCCGAAUUGCCAGCGUAAAUUACAUGAGAGAUGGGGUUGUGGGAAGAAGGAUUAUAAGUUGUACACUUGUACCCUGCUCUAGCCAAGAAUUAUGAGGCCAGAGCGGCACAUAGGCCAUGUUUUGCCCUCAGGAUUUGCAGCUAGUGAAUUCUGAGGGGAGCACUGUUUAUUUCUUCCUGUAUACUACUAGCAUGUAACUAUUGUUCUUAGACUUCUUAUGGAAAUACCUGAAUGUGUCCUUUCUUUUUUAAGGCUGAAUAUGUAUGUUAGUUGUUUCAAGAAGAGAAAUAUAAGUUUAACAAAUUAAAUUGUAUUUCUUCUUUCUGAAAUUUCCUCUUCUUGCUUGCAGCAGUUUCCUGUUUUUUUUCAAACAAUCUUUAUAAAGGCAAGGAGUUCCGGUAAUUCACUAUAGAAAACUGGCAACGGUAAAAUAAGCCAAAAUGACUAACCAGAGUGGCUCUCCAUUACUCACCAACAUUCUACAAACAAUGGAGUCCAAUCCAGCGAAUUAGAUUUAAUAUUCUUCCACAAAAUUAGUUUAGAAUAUAGAACAUUAUAUAUAUAAUAGGUAACUUAUUUUAAAAAAACUUAACAUCCCACACCAUUUUCAAGAUAAGGAGGCCAUAACCUUGCAAAUAAGAAUCAAAUAAAACCUGGAAGCAAAAUUGUAAAAUUCGACGGGGACUGGUCAUGUCGGAGGGUCAUCCGGCGUUCACAAUUUUUUUGGGUAGUUGAGAAAUUACUAAUUCUGGACCCCUAUCGUAUAUGUAGCCCCACUUCAUCCAGCUAAGUGGUCUUGCCAUUCUUACGAGUCAAAACAUCUCACGAGAGAUCAAGAGGCAAAGGAAUUCACUUUCUUUAUCAAAGUUCUUGAUGUAACAUUAGGGACAUUAUUAAUGCAAGGAGAGUGCCAAGUGUGCAUAUAGUCAAGUGUUAGGCUUCAUUUGGGUGCCAAGAGUGCAAGAUCAGGGACAUUUUUUUUGAAUGCUCGUUACCCUUCGUGGUUGGCAACGUCUAGUCGGCCUUGGGAUUUGGAGCACUUCUUCGUGAGCUAUCGAACAAGGGUUAUUUUUUAGGGGUAGCUUUCCCGCAUUUGCUUUCUUGCAAGUUCAAUUCCACAUUUACUUCAUGUUAAUUAGCUCGCUACAUUUGUUGCCUAGGUUCUUGUUUUGUUUAGAAUUCCUGGCUAAGGUUUCUAAUUGUUCUAGAACUAGAUUCUAACCGGUUCCAAUUACCCCCCACCCAGCGAGCUGGCCAUUCGAUAUUUUUGUAUGGUGAAUCUAGCUAUGCAAUUGUGUGUCUGUACAACACAAAUUUAUCAUUCUGCACAAAGCCUUUCUUCAAUUCUUCACUGUGCAAGGACGUCGUGCAAUUCCAUGCGCACGAUGAUGGAAACACAAGCCUUAUGUCAUAAUUGAUGAAUAGCUUGAUCUUUUGUUAACUUGCUCAUGCUAGACAAUUAAGGGGUUACACAAAGAAAUAGUCACACUAUUAGAAUGGGCUAACUUGCUCCUUUAGAUAUGCCAUAAUAAUAGUCUUUUCCAUGCAUCAUAACAUACAACAACGUGAUCUAACAUUAUAUAGCAUGGUACAAUAGCACUUUUGACUUUGCCAUACACUCUGGAAUAAAUGUUUUUUAUCCAGUACACAACCAUUGUGUAUCCAGUACACAAUAUUUCUAUUUUUGUAUACAACGAUGUGCCAUUCACAUGUGGGCCUAUGCUCGACUUAUUCAUCCCUAUAUAUACUUCAAGUUUUCUUUAUUCAAUGUACAGUUAUGUAGAACUAUUUAUUUUAUUUCUGGCAAUGAACUCACGAUAUUAGGACUUAGAAGACGAUGAAAGAACUGGACCUCUGGUACUUCAUCUUCUUCAGGUUCGGCGAGACAGCGAGCUGGAUCAUCGCCGGCGGCCCGCACGCGUGCGCCAGCGUGUCAUCACCGCCUUCUGGCACGUGUUCCCGCAGGAUCCCCUCGGUCACGAAGCCAACGCUAUACUUCCAUCCCUCCUCCGGGCGCUUCACCUGGUCGACGACGUACCACACCUUGAGCCUGUCCUGAUACUCCGCCGCCCACCGGUCUAGCUCGUCGCGCAGGAGGAUGUCGUCCUCCGUGCGGUUGGCGUACACCAGGUGCAUCUCCGUCCGGUCCUCCGGCUGGUCGCGCAGCACCGCCUGGAUCACCUGGUACAUCGGCGCGAUCCCGCUCCCGCCGGCGACCAUCGCGACGCGGCGCACCUGCCGCGGCUCGCCGCCGAUCGUGAAGCCGCCGCGGCCGGUGUACACGACGUGGCCGAGGGGGCCCUUGACGUCUAUGCGGGAGCCGAUCAGGAGGGAUUCCAGGUGCUGGGUCAUGAGCCCGCCGUCGGGGAACUUGGGGUGCUCGUCCUUGAAGUAGAUUUUUACGAGGAGGUCGAAGUGGCCGGCCUCGUCUGCCGCGCUCGUCGGCGUGUACGCCCGCGCGCAGAGCUUGCCGUCGAUGUCGGCGCACACUAGGAUGUGCUUGCCGAUGGGGAGGCCGAGCGCCUGGUCGGAGGAUAGCAGGGCGAACCGGAAGAGGCGGACGUCACGUGAGAGCUCCUUCUUGUCGACGAGGCGGCAGGGGACCUUCUGGCGCGGGUUGGAGAGCGCGACGGCGGGCGCGGGGGGAUUAACGGCCGCGGGGAUGGGGUCGAGGUGGGAGAGACUGGAGGACGCGCAGUGGACGGAGUUGUAGCCGGUGCCGGUGGUGACGAGCUCGCCGAUGCGGUAGGCGUCGAGGAGGGUCUUGUCCUUGUCGGAGUGGAUGGCGUCGAACUCCUCGGUGCAGUCGGUGCCGGCGUUGAUGAGGAUGCUGUCGGCGCCGCCCGGGUGGUCCUUGAGGUACGCGGUGCAGUCGUACACGUGCCGUGGACGACGAUCCAUGCCGAGUCGCGCGACGCGUGCUCGCGAACCUCGGCCAUGGUGAACCGUUUAGCGUCGUCGGUGGUGUUCGUGGUGGCCUCCGCCGCGUCAAGGUGCUUCUGCCGCGCCAUCCGCCCGCCCGGCUGGUUGCCGGGCUGCGUCGGGUGCUCGAACCCCAGCCCGAUCUCCCCAUUGUGCGGCCGGCGCACGUUCACCCUCACCUUGAACCAGCAGUUGGUCAUCAUCCCCUGAAAACACGAUCCAUCUCAGAGCAUCAUCAGAAAUUCAGAAUCCACCAGAAAAAAAACAGAGUGAUGUGCCAAACGAUCGAUGCCUUCGUACCAUGAGGUUCCAGACGAGUUUCUCGGGCUGGGUGUUGAGCGACUGGUCCCAAGCGCGGACGGCGAUCUCCUUGGCGCCGAGGAGGUCGAUGACCUCGACAUAGACGGACCAGAAGCACCAGCACCAGUACUUCCCGUACUUGUUGGGCUUCUCCGGGUGGUUGAGCUCACACAAUAACCAUGUCUCGCCGCCGUCCAGAGUGACCUCCACUCGUGUCACCUCCUUGCCACCACCUACACAACAGAAAACGGAGAAAUAAUCAUGUAAAUGUAAUGGUUUAAACUGUCAUUAGCUUAAAAUCCAACUCCGCACGUGCACCUAUCUUCUUCCUUACUGGCCGAUGCGCCGAUGCAUACAACUCAAUAUAGCAUAAGAUCAAAUGUCUUAAGUUUAAACCUAGUAGGCAUGAUUAAAUAAAAAACAGUUAUAGUGGACUUAUAUUUUUCACGUUUUGAGGUCCGCCCAUAGCCAGCCGUCCUGAUUUGUGUCCAGCAGCGCCUUAUAUGCACCACUGCUAGGCGGUUAACCUGCUUCCGUGGCCUUCUUUCAAUCUCUUUUAUGGAUGCUUCAGAAAAAAUAGCUCCACUUCACUAACCCCACAAAAUUGCCUGUCAAACCCUCCAGUUACAUAAAUUUCAGCUUCAAAAAAACGUGGAGCUAGGGGUCAGAUACACAUUUUUCCUAGAGUAUCUCAGAGGUGCUCCAAAAACAACAGUUUCAGACUUCCUCGUAGAGUUGAGGGUUAUUUACUCACCUUUACCACUCGUUACACAACAUACUGGUUCGUUUCUAAUUUUUGUAUCCCUUCCCCAUUGCUGUUUCCUCCAUCUGCCGCUCAGCCCUUUCUAGAAGCGUCGGAGCAAUUGGCAGAAGGCAAGGAAGAAACCCUAGACCAUCGGAUGUUCCAAUGCUAGAUCAAGAGAAGUGUCGGACGAAGCAUAUUCACUUCAGAAACUUCCAGAGAUGUUUUGAGCAAAAACUCUUCAGCACCGAAUGUUCCGACGGUAGUAUUGGACAAAGCGUCGGAUGAAUUUUGAGUGAGUCAGUGAAGAAGUUGGGCAUGGAGGAGCCAACGGCUAGCUGCACUGGAUGUUCCGAUGCAUGUCAAAAUAGAUCAUCGGAACAUCUGAUGGUAUACUGUAACUAGCCGUUGGAGCAACGACUCUUUGAUGCCUUGGGCUAUUUAUACCCCUUCCACUCGCCUAUUUGAAGUGUUGGAGUGUGCAGAAGUCUAUUGGAGAUCAAGACUCAUCAAGAACACAUCCAAGCCACCAAAAGUGCUUAAGUGAUUAUUCAAAGGCUUAGUACAAGCUUAGAAGAGUGUUUAGUGCUAGGAUAGGCCUAGAGAAGAGAGAGUGCAAGGUGUGUUUACCUUGUGAUCGGUUCAAGGAGUGAACCAUAGCAGGAGCAACCUGUACAAGCUGUGCUGGUGCCUUGAAGCCUUGGUGUCUCGCCGACAAGUUUUCGACCCUUUGACUUGGUGUGGAGCAACACCGACGACCGUGUGUGGAGAAUUGGAAGACCCCCUUCCUUCGUGGAAAAGCUCCUUAGUGGAGACGACAUCAAGGUGACUGGGUAACUUGGCGUGAGCCUUAGCAGUCGAGUCUUUGUGGCAAGUCAAGGGAUGUCCCGGAAGAGACUUGAUGACCAGGAAGCAAUACUCCUGUGUGAGUGUUUCAACAACGUGGACUAGUGGUGGCUUAGUGUCUACCGAUACCACGGGAUAAAUCAUUGUGUCAAGAGUUUGCUUCCCCUCAUCCUCGCCUCUUACAUUACUGCAUUUCAUACUUGCAACUUAUGUACCUUUACUUUCUUAGUGUAGUAUGUUGCUAGAAUUGACUCUAGGUUGCAAAAGUUAUUUUGGGAUGAGGGUUUCAUACUAGAUCAACCUUAGUUGCACAUCUUGAUAGCAUGAUCUAGUUUAUAUUUGUGAAUUAGUAGUGGAAGCCAUAAUUUAAGGUUUUAGAUUGCCUAAUUUGGUCCUUCCCUCUACGAACACCAAUUCCUUGUACAGGAGCUACAAAGCACGGCUCCUGCCGGCGUACCACUGAGCUUCUGCCCAGACUGCAAAUGUACUAUACUGCCCAAACCUUCGAAUUGCGCUUGCUCCUAUUUGGAGGCUGUGUACCUCAGUGGCUAUUGCAGCUCUAGAAAUCUCUGGUUUGUACUGUACAUUGUACAGUACUACAUUCACCACUCACCACCAUUUCAUCACUUCAACAGCCCAGAGUUUCCUUUACUUUUUCUUUCUUUGCUCCUGAAAGGGAGGAGCAAUAGCUGCAAUGCUCAGAAGGUACACAAACACAAUGCACUCUUCUACUAGCACUUUGGAGGACGUUAUGCUCACUUGAUAGUAUAUUACUCCCGAUGAGAGUAAACUUUGUUCUUACACUUCGGAUCCAUUCAAAUCGGCAUGCUUUGGUACCUCGAUAUGCAAGCAGAGUUGCCUUGCAUAUCACUCAUGUGUUGCUCCUCCCAAGGGGAGCACUGAGCAUGAUACAGCCAGCUUCAUUCCAACACGGGACAUCGGAGUAGUUCGUUCACGUGGCGGGCAGCAGAAGUCUUGGACAUUUGACCUGUUUGUAGUAUUUCGCCGUCUAAAUGAAAUUUUGAAUUGAGACGACUGGUGUGCAUCAACCAGCAAUAACUUCUUUUCUUAUACAGGCAGGUAAUUCUUUGAAGAGCAUAAUAAUGUAUAUGUUCUUUGAUCAAACAAGAAUUUCUUGUUCUACCACCAUGCUUGGUACAUAAAAGUUUAGUCCCGGCCGGCUCCCGAAUCGCAAUCACCAUUUGGUAAGGUAUUGAAUAAUUCCUUCCAUCACAGAUCUCUAAACUUGACGAGCUUGCGUUGAUCUGCCGGAGCUGAAAACCAAAAUUAUUCCAGCUGAACACCCGUCCCUCCCUGCAUCUGCGGAAGCUUCCAUUCACUGACACUGAAGUCUGUGAAUAGCCUCCUCUAUACUCGAGUAGUUUACCCCAUUAUCCAUGGUCAAUCAACCCUUCGAUCCAUUUUUACACCUUAUCCAAGACAUCAACAGGUACAUCCCCAAACCAAUUAACCUUCCUGCAGUUCAGAACCACGCUCAAGCACGAUUUCACACACUACAUUCUGCAAAACCAUCUUACAUUAGUCCCUGAUGCCUUGCUGCACACUAAACAUACACGUAGUUUAUAAAAGAUGAGGAGGACCGUGGAAUCUCCUUGCUCACAACCUCCGUUACAAGUUGACUGUCUCACUCGCCACCGCUCCAAAAUGGCAGCCCCUGUCCUCUUGCUCAUCCUACUCGUGCCUGCCAUGUCGUUGCCCGUCGCGCAUUGCGACGACAACGACGUCGGGUUCCAGCUCAAGCUGACCCAUGUCGACGCGGGCAGGUCGUUCACCAAGCUGCAGCUCCUCAACCGCGCCAUCGCCCGGAGCAAGGCCCGGGUGGCGGCGCUGCAGGCCGUCGCCGCUGUGACGUCGCCCGCGGUGGACCCGAUCACCGCGGCGCGCAUCCUGGUGACGGCUAGCACUGGCGAGUACCUGGUGGGCCUGGCCAUCGGCACGCCGCCGCUCUACUUCACGGCGAUCAUGGACACCGGCAGCGACCUCAUCUGGACGCAGUGCGCGCCGUGCCUUCUCUGCGCCGACCAGCCCACGCCCUACUUCGACGCGAGGAAGUCCGUCACGUACCGCGCGGUGCCGUGCCGGUCGACGCGGUGCGGGCAGCUCUACUACCCGGCCUGCUUCCAGAAGGUGUGCGUGUACCAGUACUACUACGGCGACACGGCGUCCACCGCCGGCGUCCUCGCCAACGAGACCUUCACGUUCGGCGCCGGCAACUCCACCAAGGUCCGGGCGCCCAACGUCUCGUUCGGGUGCGGCAGCAUCAACGCCGGCGACCUCGCCAACAGCUCCGGCAUGGUCGGCUUCGGCCGCGGGCCGCUGUCGCUGGUGAGCCAGCUCGGCCCGUCCAGGUUCUCCUACUGCCUGACGUCCUACCUCUCGCCGACGCCGAGCAGGCUCUACUUCGGCGUGUUCGCCAACCUCAACAGCACCAACACCAGCUCCAGCUCCGGUUCGCCGGUGCAGUCCACGCCGUUCGUCGUCAACCCGGCGCUGCCGAGCAUGUACUUCCUCUCGCUCAAGGGCAUCAGCCUGGGGACCAAACGCCUGCCCAUCGACCCGCUGGCGUUCGCCAUCAACGACGACGGCACGGGCGGCGUCAUCAUCGACUCCGGCACGUCCAUCACGUGGCUGCAGCAGGACGCCUACGACGCCGUGCGGCGCGGGCUGCGGUCGGCCAUCCCGCUGCCGGCGAUGAACGACACGGACAUUGGCCUGGACACGUGCUUCCCGUGGCCGCCGCCGCCGAACGUCACCGUGACGGUGCCGGACUUCGUGUUCCACUUCGACAACGCCAACAUGACGCUGCCGCCGGAGAACUACAUGCUGAUCGCGAGCACCACGGGGUACCUGUGCCUGGCGAUGGCGCCAUCCGGCGUCGGCACCAUCAUCGGCAACUACCAGCAGCAGAACCUGCACAUUCUCUACGACGUCGCGAACAGCUUCCUGUCCUUCGUACCUGCUCCGUGCGACAUUAUAUAGCUUUUUUUCGUGUGCGCUCUUGCGUUAGCCUUCAAUAACUUCGCUGCUGGUCGUUGCAGCUGUAAUAUUACCACGUAGAGUAGCCAUUGCAUUCGCACUGAGAUUGUGUCCCCAAUUAUGUAGCUGAACAUUUAGCGUCCAAGCAUAACCAUUUUGGUGAAUCUCGAUCCGUAGUUGUACGCAUCAACUUUCAAAAAGAGCGUUAGGCUAGCCGCAUACACAUCCCAACCACCGCUAGCCCAUCCAUGAUUGUUGUAGGGCCGAAUUCGUCGAUAAAAUCAGGGCUCGAAAAUUUUUGGACUGACUCGAUCCGGGCCCAACCAUGAUCCGGGCCCGACCCAAACCUGAUGUGAAUAGUUGGCCCGACAACAUCCGGGGGAUGGUUGUGGUCACAAAUUUUAAUGAAUCGGUUUUUUUUCCGGACCUUUCUGCAAAGCGCUCGGUCUAAAUGGCUAUUUGAUCUGAUGAAAGUAUCGUUUUAAAAAAUAUUUUUUAGCUUGAUUAAAUGACUGUUUGGUCUGAUUUUUAACUAACGAUGUGUGACUGUCUGUUUAUCAGUAGUAAAAAAUUAUAUGGGCACCACUAUGAAGUAUCAACACUGAGAUUAACUAUCAUGGGCCUUCUCAAAAGGCCGUGGCUAAUCCUCAUUGGGCCUAGGAAACAAGCGUACAAUGAAAAUGAGCCCGCUUGCCUCUCUAGAGGCCCUCUUGCGUUAUUUGCACUGGGCUUCAAUUAGCUCCGCAAACAUCUUAUCAACAGGCCCAAAUACUGCACAGGUGCCAAAGGGCUCACCUCGUUGGAUUUCUGCCGAGGGCCAACAAAAGAAGGGUACAUCGCAAAACUAAUUCUACAAGCGCGCGCUGCCGCGCUUCGUGGCGCGCGAUGCAAGGUGCCGGGGGUCCCACGCUCAUGUGCAGCUGCGGAACAACGAGGCUGCGCGCUCCCGCGCGUUUUUUUACUUCUUUCUUUUUCAAUUAUUUUUUCACAAUUUGUACCAAGUAACUAUAGUAUAUGUAUUACUUAUAUAUAAGUUAUGUGCAUAAUUUUUUUAACACAUUCUCCCAAAAGUUGUGAUAAAUAUCAGGUGUAUAAAUUGUGUAUAUCAUUAAAGUUGUAUUAUGAAAUAUCAGGAAAAAAAUUAUGCAUAUAAAUUAUACGUAUAGGUUAUAACUUUCUUAAAAAAAAUAAAAACUGAAAUUAUUCUUACAAAUUGUAUCUAAAAGUCUGCACGCUAUUUAAGUUGUGCUAAAAAAUUACUUUAGAAAAAAAUUAUAUUAUGAAGUCGAAGUUAUACAUAUAAAUUAUGAUAUUUUAAAAAUAAAAAGUUGCGGUAUUUUAAACUUUCCGAAAAAGGAAAGUUGCCGGGAUGGGAGUGGGUUGUCGGGGACGAGUGCCGGCAGCCCUCGUGGCGCGCGCUGAUUAGCGCUACCCAGGUCCAUCCAGCAGUUAAAUUAGUUUGCUCGCCCUGGACGGCAGGGCAAUUCACUUGCCUGCGACGCGCUGAAGAGAUCGCAUUCGCACCCGUUCGUGGUCGCCAUGGACGGCGGGGCAAAAAAGUUCACUUGCCAUGCAUGCGAUCUCUUGCGAGGUCGUCACUAGUGGUUAAUUCACGCCCCACAACGCAUUUUCCGCACAGGUUAAUUUCAGCAUUUCACUUCCAUCGUAGGUGUAGGGGUGCCAUAGAACCGAACAAUUCUUGCUAGGUCACACCAGUGGUGCCAAGAUGCUGCUACGGCCGUCAGGCACCACUGAUAAAAAGCAAUCGCUUUCCACGGCGAAAGGCACCGUGCACCUACACUCGGCAUAUCACCAAUUUUUUUGCACCAUCAUGCGAAUCAAGAUAACGGCCACGACCCAACCACCGCGAGAACAAAUUAGCACCUUACUAAAGCCAAAGGCUAGUGCCCUCCCCGCCCGCUCGACGCUCGUCCUAGCUAGUUUCGUUCAAGGCAUGGCGAGCCAUCUCCUCCGCCCGCUUCUCUGCUUCACCGUCGUCGUCGUCGUCACCGCCGCCGCCGGCUCCGUCGACUUCCGAGCCGAGCUUAACCACCCGUACGCCAGCAGCUCGCUCUCCAGCGAGGAGUUCAUUGGCCAUGCCGCUACGGCCAGCAAGGCCCGGGCGGCGAGGAUCAAUGCCAGGCUCGCCCGCGCCGCCCUCGGCAGAGGCGGCCUGUCGUCGGCCGACGCGUCCAUCACCCCGCUCGGCGACCAGAGCCACACGCUGACCGUGGGCAUCGGCACGCCGCCGCAGCCGCGCACGCUCAUCGUCGACACGGGCAGCGACCUCAUCUGGACGCAGUGCGCGCUGUUCGGGCGCCGCACGGCGAGGCAGCGCGAGCCCCUCUACGACCCGCGCAGGUCCUCCUCCUUCGCCUUCCUCCCAUGCAGCAGCACGCUGUGCCAGGAGGGCCAGUUCAGCGACAAGAACUGCACCCGGAACAGGUGCCUCUACGACGACGUCUACGGCAGCGCGGAGGCCGGCGGCGUCCUCGCCUCCGAGGCCUUCACCUUCGGCGCCCGCAGUAAGGUCUCCCUCCCCCUCGGCUUCGGCUGCGGUGCGCUCUUGGCGGGGACCCUCGUCGGCGCCUCCGGCCUCAUGGGCCUCAGCCCCGGGACCAUGUCGCUGGUAUCGCAGCUGUCCGUACCAAGGUUCUCCUACUGCCUCACUCCUUUCGCCGAGAGUAAGACCAGCCCGAUGAUGUUCGGCGCAAUGGCUAACCUUGAAAAGUACAAGACGACAGGCCCAAUCCAGACCACCUCCAUUCUGAGGAACCCGGCAAUGGAGACUGCUUACUACUACGUGCCACUGGUAGGGCUCUCGCUUGGGACCAAGAAACUACGCGUGCCGGCGGCCAGUUUGGAGAUAAAGCCGGACGGCACCGGCGGCACGAUCGUCGACUCGGGCAGCACGCUGGCGUACCUCCCGGAGAAAGUGUUCAAGGUCGUGAAGAAGGCGGUGCUGGAGACGGUGAGGCUGCCGGUCGUUAAUGGGACCAUGGGGGAGUACGAGCUGUGCUUCGUGCUGCCGAGCGGUGGGGCGAUGAGCGCGGUGAGGACGCCGCCACUCGUGCUGCACUUCGACGGGGGCGCAGCGAUGACACUCCCCCGGGAUAACUACUUCCAGGAGCCGAGAGCCGGGAUGAUGUGCCUUGCGGUGGGCAGUGCGCCGGACGACUUCGGCGUGUCCAUCAUCGGCAACGUCCUGCAGCAGAACAUGCACGUGCUGUUUGAUGUGCGCAACCAGAAGUUCUCCUUCGCGCCCACGCAAUGUGCAGACAUCUGAGCAACGCAAUUGCAAUCUGUAGUAAUGCGUUUGUUCAGUUUCCAAUUUGAAUGGACAAAAAUGCGAGGCAUCCAACAAUGAGCAAAGAAUAAGUUUGCCCCCAUUUUAAUAUGUAUUUAUUAUUGUUUCUUUUCCCAGCAAAAAGGUCUAAAUAUUUGAGGUUUAGAAGUUCACCGUGCUUCUUAUUCUUUAUCGGCGUCCCAGUUGUUUAGAGUUGCAUUUUAUAGUAGCCACCAUCAAAGAGAAAAGUGAACAGAUUGCACUAAAAAAAGUGAACACAUAAAAAACAAAGAGAGUAGCUAGCUAGAUAGUAUCACUCAAUUUUUAUAGAAAAAGGGCUAGACAAUAUUGUUGCCUAGUGGAAAUUGAUGUACUGUCAACAAUAGUAACCACUUUAUUAAUCCAGAUAUAGUAUAGUAUCGGUUGGUUCAUGCAUCAGGAAAGACAGCAAUAAUAAUGGAGCUCCAGUAUGUGUGGAGUAUACAUAGAGAUGUCACCAUUUUGGGUUAUGUUUGGCGUUAAUUAUUAUUGGAAGCUUUGGGUUUGUGCUUAUUGCUAUGACGUUGCUUUCUUAAUCGAGGGGCUGUAUGUGAAUAUGAUUCUUGUAAAGCCGUGCCAACGUACUAUGUCAAUGUCCAUAAUUUGGUUGUGCUAUGGAAAGCGAUUUGAUCAAUCAUGACUGAUUGUUUGUUUCGAUUGAUGAUGGUGGUCAGUAGUAGAGUCCGGUGGAGUAUCCAAACUGUUACGUAGUCAUGGUUAACUUCGUCUUGGCUACUAAAAAUGACUGGAUCAACUCUGAAAAGCUUACCUAUUACUGUUGAUAAUGAUGAUUAGCUAUCACUUUAACCUAUUCCAGUCACUGUUGAACUUGGUUUUCAUCCCACUGGCCACUGCGUAUAUACCCAUUACUCUUUCGGGUUCUAUUUCUGUCUAAUGCAACAUUUACCUUUCACAAUUCCAUAUCAGAUAAAGUAGAAGGCCGCAUGCCGCGGAAACUGUCUAGAAAUAAACCAAGUUCUUUCAUGGGUCCACAACGUUCAUUCGUCUCUCCUUAUAUAGGUGUCAAUUCUUUAUUUCUGUGUUGAUGAACUUAACUUCUGGAUUCCUUCAACUAGCAAGCUAGGCUAUGUGCCGUACUGUCACGUCCUCAGGUAAAUAGGUUGAACUUACAAGACGUAGAGAGAGUAUGUUGUCAAAAUAUAAAAGUUACAUGUAUUUCAGAAGCUUAGUCUUAUAAUUUUGGCUUUUUGCCAUCCUCUUGACGACUGUUAGCACGCCAAUUGUGAACCGCAAGCGUACGGAUCAGUUGUAGCUCUUCUCUCAGAGUAUUCCCCAAAGGUUUAUCAAUCCGUGGAACUUAUAGCACAAGAUCUAUUUCAACUAGAAUUGUUAGUAUUAACUUGGUGUUUAUGAGAGAUUCAGAUCCAAUUUACUAAGCAUGUACAGACAGAUAACAGAUAGAGCAGAAGUAACCAAUCUAGAGCAACCUAAACUAUACAUAUGUUGUAAUUUUGAGCAUGGAUAGUAAAGCAACACAUAUAUGAUCUUAGUAAAAAGCAUCUUUAAAUCUACACCUCCGGUCCAGAUCCCAAAACCCCCCACCUUACACAAGAAAGAUCCUGUCACGAUCACCACUAUCAGCGCAAGUAGGUUAAGGGCACGAUAAAGAUAACAUGUCAAACUCAUCGGUAGAUCAUGCAUGCAAAUCUGGUCACCAUGACCAUAAGAACACCCUAAGCAAUCUAUCAUCAAUUCAUAGAUUCAAAAGCAAGCAAACCCAAUGAAGUAUAAAACCAUCAAAGGAGAUACUUAGAUCGCUAAGAACGUGAACAUAUCUAUUACUUCACCAUGAAUGAUUCUACAUCACAAGAUCACCACUGGGAUCCUACCUUGAUCUUGAUGACUCCUAGCUCCAGAACUCUAGCGUGAUCUUCCUCGCAGGGUGAACUUCAACAAAAUUUUCAAACUGUCCAUCAGUUUUUACCUAGACGAUGGCGUGGCUUUCCUGGCAGAAUCUUAGUGUCAUCUUGAUCAACCAUCUCAAACUCUGGCUCUUCUAUUUCAAUUUCUGGAGCUGGGGUAGGUGUCUUCUUUUUUGAAGUCAUCUCCGCUUCAACAGUUGAUUUAGGCUUCCUAGAUCCCGCUGGACGUUCAAGGUCUUCUGUUUCCUUGCCUAACCAAGUUUGAAUAGCCUUAGCUGACUCUGGAUUCCUCGGUUGUCCCGGCAAUUUACCUUCAUUGCUUGUAAAGUGCCCAGCUAACUAUGUAACUUGAGUCUCCAGCAUCUUCAUCAUGUUCAUCACUUGGUGGUUUGAACUUCCGACCUCUAUCACCUUGCUAUCAAUAUCUUCCAAAACCUUGUCCAAAACCUUGUCCAUAACCUUGAACUUAGUGAUAGUGUCUUUGUUGAUCUUGCCUUGCUCCCCUAUGAACUCCUUCAGCUGAAUGCAUAGAGGCACUAAGUUCUGGAUGGAUGAGCUUGCAUUGAGUUGAGGUCUAUUCUAUCCAUACCGAUAGUUGGAUGGUGGAAACCACUCCCCCUUCUUCAUGUAGUCUAGCAAACUUGCUUCCUCUAGACAGUUCUUCCCAACAUGGCCGUAUUCACCACACUUUUCACAUGUUGAUCUUGCUUCUGCUACCUUCAGAUCUAUAGCAUGAGCUUCUUUUAUCUUCAUCUUCUCCAGUCUUCUCAUCAGCGAAUCGAUCUUCCCUUCGAGUAAAUUCCUCAGUUGCAACACACCUUGAGAAUUUCUAGCUGGUUGAACUGGGAACAAGCACCCAGAUGAUGUCCAUCCAUCGUUGUCUGCUACCUUCUUGAAUAACUUGAAAGCUUGAGUUGGGGUGAGGUCGAUGAUUGAUCCUCCAGCUGAUGCGUCGAUGAUUAACCUUGAUGCUGGUGUCAGCCAUUGGUAGAACUUCUGGACUAGAUUCUCUUUCAGGAACUUAUGAUGUGGAACUUCACGAACGUAGUCAUUGAAGCGCUCAUAGGCUUCAGCAAUGUUCUCAGUAGAAUACUGAGCAAAGGUAGCUAUCCUGCUUCUUAGGUUUUGAGUCUUGGCUGGUGAAUAAUGUUCUGCUAUGAAGGGCUCCAUCAACUCAUCCCAAUACUGAAUUAUCGCGAGAAUAAAACCAUUAAAGCUCUCUUCCAAGUAGAGAGUAGGGAAAUAACCUUGCUCUUAGUUGAUCUUUGUUAACUCCAUACAUAUCGAAGGUGUUGCCCAGCUGCGUAAACGUUUGUGGAUGAAGAUUAGCAUCCUCCUUACCAGUGAAAGGUAAACUUUGCACCAUCCUGAGUCUUGAAGUAUUGAUGGUGAAUGGUUGCCUGAUGCCAUCCAACUCAUGGAUAGGUAAAUCAGUGAUGUUUGGGAUGCACAGUUCCCUGAUGGUACGCUCUUCUUCAUGUUGAUCUCCCAUUGCAGUUUCUUCUGCUACUUCUGGCGCAACUAGCGCCCCUUUUGGACUUACUAGUGGUGUCAACUUUGAAUAAGAAUAUGAUGACGAUUCUUCCUUAACAAUUGAAGAUUUGAUCUCCAGCUUUCUAGCUUGUGCUCAACAUCUUCCUUGCCUGUAAAGUUUUUUUGGAUGUUGGAUCAUCCAUAAAAUUUUUCAUUUUGUUGGAGAGGUAGCUGUCCAUCUCCUGUUAGCAUUAGUGAAAGCAAACACAUAUAUACAAGAACUAGAUUUGAAAUUUUGAUUGAAAUUGCGCAAAAACAAAAAAAUUAAAAAGAAAAGACUGAAAAAUCAUGAACAAAAAGUUAUAUCUACAAAUGCAUUGUUAAACUAGAACUUGACUAUUAGUUCCUAGCAACAGCGCCAGAAAAGCUUGUUGACAGCUUUUAGCAUGCUAAUUGUGAACCGCAAGCGUACGGAUUAGUUGUAGCUAUUCCCUCAAAGUAUUCCCCCAAGGUUUAUUAAUCCGUGUAACUUAUAGCACAAGAUCUAUUUCGACUAGCAUUGUUAGUAUUAACUUGAUGUUUAUGAGAGAUUUAGAUCCAAUCUACUAAGCAUGUACAGUGUCGGCUAGGCACCCCUGGGCCCACCAGAAGACUUGUAUGGACCCACUGAGGGGAAUGUACCCGAAACCAACUCGGACAUGAAGACUACUCUACAGGGCACGUAGGCUUCAUGAACUCCCCGAAGACUAGUCGGGUCAAAAGGAAACUACUCUACCAAGUUAGAGUAGGACUCUUUAACGUACUCGACUAGGACUCAUACGCAAUCUGCCCUGUAACCUUGCUCCCCCGACUAUACAAUGGCGGGCAAGGAUCCCCUCCAGACAAUGAACAACGAAGAACAAGAUCAAUACAACCAACACACAGGAUGUUGGGUAUUAUGCGAUCUAGCGACCUGAACCUGUCUAAAUCGUGUUCCUUGCGUCACCAUCGACUUCUUGAUUAUCGACGACACGCACCGCAUAAAAGACCACCUUGGGUACUCCCUAGGCAGGUUGCCGGUCUAAAACACCGACAUACAGACAUAUAGCAGAUAGAGAAGAGAUAAAUAAUCUAGAACAACCUAGACUAUGCAUAUGUUGUAAUUCUGAGCAUGGAUAGCAAGGCAACACAAAUAUGAUCUUAGUAAAAAGCAUCUUUAAAUCCACACCCCUAGUCUGGAUCCUGAAACCCCCCACCUGACACAAUAAAGAUCCUGUCACAAUCACCUCUAUCAGCACAAGCAUGUUAAGGGAACGAUCAAGAAAAUGUGUCAUACUCAUUGGUAGAUCAGGCAUGUAAAUCUGGUCACCACGACCAUAAGAACACCCUAAGCAAUCUAUCAUCGAUUUCUAGAUUGAAAAGCAAGCAAACCCGAUAAAGCAUAAAACUAUCAAAGGAGAUACUUAUAUCGCUAAGAACGUGAACAUAUCUAUUACUUCACCAUGAAUGAUUGUAUAUCACAAGAUCACCACCGGGAUCCUACCUUGAUCUUGAUGACUCCUAGAUCCAUAACUCCAGUGUGAUCUUCCUCGCAAGGUGAUCAUGCCGGCAAAGGUUCAGCUACGCUAACACCCGACAACUGCACGGCUCUCGGCUCUCCAGAGAGGUGUCCCUCAAGCUCCUUCUGCUUCUCUGUUGCUUCACGUCGAGUACAUCGUCUUGGAUUUGGGGUUCGGUGGAUUUUCGGGGUAUUUAUAGUUUAGAGAGCGCGUGGCAAAAAUUGGAAGGCGAGGGGCCAAAGGAAACCCCUAGGCCAAUUGGCCCGGGAGGGUUCAGGCCGAGAGGUCUGGGCCUUCCUUUUAGCCCCUCGCAUCUUGCUUCAUCUCCAAGUGUCCCUCGAUGCUCUGGAGUCUUCUUUUCACUUGUAUGUGGGCAUGGCAUGUUGAUAGUUUCAGGAUGAGAUUGAUCUUCAAUAACUUUCCAAAUCUCCGCUUGAUCUUCUCUGAUUCCUCUUUGAUCCCAAAGUGAUCCUUGCCAUAUCUUAACAAACUGAAGCGUCCCCACAUAAGUAGAGACUAAAUGUGAUCCAAUUAUCAGUCCCAGGAGGCUGAUAACACAUUUAUUCAACAGAUAGUUCAGAAACCGUACAACUCCCGAAGGAGCAGGCGGGCAAGCCACACCCAAAGCAAGACUAAAGCGAUAACAAUACAAAUCCAAGUUGCAGUCCAGUCGGACUCCGGGCUGCAAUCGGAACUAAGCGUCAGCGGAAGCAUCCUGCAAAAGGGCCAGCACCGCAGGCAGUGUUGGGUGCAGACGCAACCUCCUACUCGAAGUCCUCGGCGACGAAGUCCGGAUCCUCCUCUGAAGUAACAACACAAGGGUGAGUACAAAAGUACUCAGCAAGUCCAACCCCAUCCACGGAGGGGGAUACAACAAGAAUAUGCAUAAGAAUCAUCAAGGAUGAAGCUAUGGUUUAUUUGCAAUAAAGCUGAAUUUUAGACGUAUGCAGGGUUCCAUUUUAAAGAAGUUUCAUGAAAACAUUUUAAUAAACGAUAUAUCAAGUGGGGUUGAUCCUACACAAAGGAUCCGAGUUUUAUCGCUACCGGACCCCCCGUUCGCCGUAGCGCACGGCACAGCUGCCGGACACUUCCAAAAUUCCACACACCCACACACACCGUAAAUACCAGUCAUCCCCCAAAAGCUAGUUGUGUGACCGAGCCGUAACUCGUCCAAUGCCGUGGACACGGCUACCCGGAUAGGUUUUAACUCUGCAGAGGUUGUACACUUUUCCCACAAGUAGGGUACCGUAUCGCGAUCACCUUAGUGACGGUUCGGAUCCUAACAAAGCCAUUACCCACCUUAGCCAACACUGACUAGUCAUCACGGAAGCACCCAAGGGGUUAGUAACCCAUCCACGGGGCCAAAACCGGGACCUAAGUCACCAAGAGCUUAGUCCUUUUCCAAGGGCUCCCGUUGCUCACCAGCACACCUAAAGCCUAGCAGUUUAGCCAGUGGGAUUUAUGCUAAGCCGUUGCCCAUACAACGGUCGAGUGGUUGCACGAUGAUGGAAUUAGGAAGGAUGACACAUCAACUCGGUCCUUAACCAUGACAAGAUGGAUAACUCCCACUCUGCUCAACCACUAAGGUACGAGCCCAACAACCCGGCAUUCCACUCAAGAAACGCCCAUCCAUCUUAUCCACCACCUCUCUUUACACCCGAAAACCCAACACCUUAGUUGAACAUACUCACACAUUUAUUUUCCGAAUAAACAAGUGUAGUCAUGAUUGAAUUUGGAUAAUGAGUUCCUAAGCAUUCUAGCAGUAUUUAUCAUCUAAACAGAGCAACUCGUAUUAGAGAUAAAUAUGGGACAACAAGGAAUGAUCAUAACAAUCAAGGGGUGGCUAUCCAACCAUGUCUUGCGAUAAAACAAUAUGCAUUUUAUAAAAUGGGCCAAUAGGUUGUGUCUGAAAAACUGGGUAUUAAAUAUGCAUCAAAGGGUGAGAUUGGACUUGCCGUUCUCAAAGCCUUCCGGGAGCUCCUGCUCGCGGUACUGGUCCUCGGGCUCGGGCUCGCGGUCGAACUCCUCCUCGCGCUCCUCCUCGGGUACUCCGCGAUCUACGGCACACACAAACGAGCACACAAUAAAUAAAAAAGGAAAAAGAUUUUACCCGUUGAGCUCCGAACAGGAAGUGGGAACGAAAAAUAGGUAGGAAGAGUAUUUUCAUGAAAUUUUGAUAUGCCUCGGCGGAAAUAUAUGAGAGGAGGCCGUGGUCGAAUUUGGGAUUGAUUGGAGGAAAUUUGGCGCAUGAAAUGACGGUUUAAAGGAGUAUUAGGGCUUUAAAAAUGAAGUUUUGGACUAAACUGUGAAAACCGAGGACCUAUUUGUAAAUAUUCUAAAAAGUGGAAGGGCUUAUUUGUGGAAUUCCCUAGAGAGAGGUGGGAGGACCGAGUUGCAAUUAGAGAGAAAGGGAGGGGCAGAUCGAAACGGAUGGAAUCCCCUUCUUCUUCCUUGGCCGAAACAGAGGAAGGGGAGAAAGGGGGCGGGCGGCCAGCGCCGGGCCGGCCGGCCGGGCCUCGCUGGCGGCAGGCCGGGCGGGGAGAGGUGGAGGGGGCGCACGGGGGUCCAUUUGACCCCUCACCUUGGACGGUUGGUGGCCGGACCCAAGGGGCGACGGCGGCGGAAUACGGCGGCGGAGCUCCUGGUGGCGGCGGCGGUUGGCGUUGGGGAAGGUAGGGAGAGGAGGGCCGGCGGCUUGGGGAGCGUGUUGGUGGAGUGGGGGGAGCUUGAGAGGUGGGGGUGGGUGCCGGCCCCUCUUUAUAGGCGGCGGGAGGAGCUCGUGGCCGGCGAUCUUCGAGGAGCGCCGCGAAUCUCGGCCGGUGGCGUGCCGGAGCGGUGGAGCUCGUGGAUGGCGUGGUGGAGGACGCGGCUCGGUCGACGAGGGUACGGGGCGGCGACCGGCGUGGGGAGGCGCGCCGGGAGGGUGGCGUGCGGUGACCGGCGGGCGAGCCGGCCACAGGAGCGGCGACGGGAUGGCAGCUUGGCGCGGAGCGAGCGACGCGACGUGGUUGACCGGCUCGGCGUGCGCGCGUGGGUGGGAUCGGCGAGCGGUGCGGCACGGCGGGCGGCACAACGCGGCGGGCGGCGCUGGCGCGCGGGCGCGACGCGGGCGAGGCGAGCAGGGGCGGGCGUCGCGCGGCCCGGCGCGGCGCGGCCAGGCGCGGCGCGUGGCCCGGCGCAGCGCAGCCAGGCGCGGCUCGUGGCCCGAGGCGAGGUGGGCCCGGCGCGCGUGCGAAGUGCAGCGCCAGGGGCAAGGCGCCGAGCGCCGGUGCCAGAGGGAGGAAGAAAGGUGCCAGCCGCAGGAGAGAGAGGAAAAGAGAAAAAGAAAGGAGGAGAAAGGAAAAGGAGAAGAAAGGAAGAGAGGGAGAGAAGAAGAGGGAGUCGGCGGGACUUGCGGGAUUUGACGGCACGCGUGAUGGACUUGACGGGCACGCGGUGAAAAUUACGGGGACAGAAAAAGAGGGUCGACGAGUCGGGCCAGAACGACGGGUCCGACGGAAGGGAAAAGAUUUGACGGAGCUCAGCGGUCGGAAAAAUUUUGGAAAGCAUUUUCAACGAGUGAUUUAAUUGGGUGUAUUUUUACGGGCGUUACACAAACUUAGCCCCUAAGUCUUCUCAGAGGGUUGCUUGCCAAAAACGAGCUUGGGGUGGAACCAGGGAGCCUCAGGCCGAUCGGCCUAAGCCCCUAUAGGCCGAUCAGCCUGGGCCCUUUCUAGGCUCGCUGGCCUUCGUCUUUGUAUGGUUCAUUGCUUGUUCAGCGUCAACACAACCUGGUAACAAGAAGAUUCGUUUGUAGUCCUCAAGGAUUCUGUAGGGUUUAUCUUUCCUCCUUUUUGACAAAUUUUUCCUUGGUAGACAAUAUCAAAUACAAUUAUGCAAAAUUUUAAGAUCAAAGUAUAAUGAAUAGUGAAUUAGUGAUUAAAUUGCAAAUCACUACUCAUUUUAAAUGGAUCAUGUUCGACCAUGUGAGUUGUACCAAGUAGUGAGUAGUGGUGUAUGGAGUACCACCUCUGGUUAUAUGGUUUUCUGGCCCAGUUUUCACUCAAAAUACUAGGCCGUCACUUGUUUUUAUUUUCUCCUUGUAAUAAAAACUGUGGCAAAUUUUUGGCCAUCCUUUUGGGAAAAAACAUUAAACCCUAUUGAAUAUUUGCUCGCCUUCCUUUGUUGUUUGACUGUUUUUUUUCCAACAAUAUCGGGGGGAAGAUCCCCACCUACUACUUUUCCAUUGAUCGAAGAGUUGUUUUUACAACAAACAUGUCCUUGCAUACCAGGAAGAGAUUACAGAGGUAGAAGAACGAGAGGCCUCAAGAGGUUAACAACAAGAAAAAAGGAAAUCCCGCCAAGCUAAUACAUGCGGGGUCAUUCUUCUGUAGCGGUAGCUCCACACGUCCAGGUUCCGUGCCGCCCUACGGAUUACUUCUUGAGGUGGGAUUACCAGCUGCUCAAAGAUCUUGGCGUUUUGUGCCUCCCAAAUAUGCCAGAGGAGAAGGAUUGCAACGUCGGUGUGAGUUGGAUCGGGCAACGACAGAGUACAGCUGACAAUUAGGUGAUUUUAUGCCCCCCGUCCCUACGAUGAUGCUUGGCUCUGGUGUUAAGGCGUCCAUGAUAGAGUAACCAGCCAAAGAACUUAACCUUCACAGGCAGCUUGGUGCUCCAGAUUGGAGCAGCGUCAGGGUCCCGACAGUCAUUGGCAUGGAGCGCAAGAUAAGCACCUUGCGUAGUGAAUUCGGUGUUGGGUUUACCAUCAAGGAGACGACGAUCAUCCCGUUCGCUGAGAGAAGUGAAGAGGAGGAAGCUGCGUAGAAUGUCAUGUUCUUCCGUCGCCGCUCGCGUCAAGUGCAGCCUGAGAUGGCGGGAGAGGUUGAUAGUCAUCAGAGCGUAGACCGAUCCAUCCGUUUGUGUGUAGUGCGAAUACAAGGCAGGGAAGGUAUAGGCAAGAGAGGUUCCCAGGAGCCACUUAUCAUGGCAAAAGGAAGUGAGUUUGCCAUUCCCAAUCUGAACUUUUGUAAGAGAACCAUAUCGAGGCAGCUCAGCUCGUACCACCAGACCAAGGAAAGAGUCAUCAUCAUCUCCCAGUGCGGUAUGAUUUUGGUCUUUCAAGAUUCUUAAACCCCAGCCACCACCCCCGCCCCACCCCCCUUGUUGGAACUAGCUCUAAGAUCACUCACGCUCACGCACAAACGUAAGGAGGAAGAUGAACAGUAGUUUUUGGCGACGAACGCCACGGCCGCCGAAUGACCUGUAUCUUGGCCUGCUAUUCAACUCAAAAUUGACUCGAACCAACUGACACACAAGCAUUACAUAGCCAUUUAACACUAGUAGAAAUGUUUUCAUCAAUGACGAUUAGGUAGUGACGGUUGCAAAUUUCGUCACAGAAUGGUAGCAUUCUAUGACGAAAGUUGUAGGAUCGUCACUAGUCAGUGGUGACGGAGCUUUGCCGCGAAGAAUAAUGACGAAACUGGAAUAAUCGUCAUAUAAUAACAAAAGUAAAUCGUCAUUGAUUUGUUGGGUCGUGUACCACCCGAAGGACAUGGCUCAAUGGAGCCAGCAGCGAGUCCCACCUGGAGGACGUGGCGAAGCAGACCCACUAGUGGGUCCCAACUUUGAGGAUGUGGCAUUGUGGUCCCACCAGCGGGUCCCACAUGGAGGAGUGGCCAUGUGGUCCCACCAGCGGCCUAACUUUGAGGAUGUGGCAUUGUGGUCCCACCAGCGGGUCCCACAUGGAGGAGUGGCCAUGUGGUCCCACCAGCGGGCCGUGGCAGUGUACACGUGGCGCCGUAGGCCCACGCCCUUGGUCCACUAGCAGUCUGCCCCCUCCCUUGCAAAAAAAUGACUCAAGGGGCCAAGGGGGAUCGAACCCGAGACCUGAUGCUAGAAAGGGAGGAGCCUUACCGCUGGAGCUCUCGACACUUUGUGUCCCUGAUGUACACGUUUUUCUUUUUGUAGGUAUAAAAAGUUAUUUUGGAAUAUUUUUUAUCGAUGGGUCUGAUGGGCCCUGUACACGAUCGUGUAUACGUCCGUGGCUAUUGGGCGAUCAUACGUCCGUGACGUCUGAUCGCGACGACGUCCAUAGGGCGCAGCAGCGGCGGCGCCCGUGGGAUAGAGCAGCGGCGACGGCCGUGGGAUAGAGCAGCGGCGACGCCGGCGAUCGUUGGUUGGGUGGAGGAGCACCUAGUAGCUGCUGCGCCUGUUGGACAGUUUAGGGGAAGACAAUUAACUAAAUAUUAAACAAUGGUUGAUGCUGACUAAUUAUAACAAAGAAGGGGACAACAAUGGCUGAUUCUGACUAAUUAGUUUCAUAUUAAACAAUUUCCAAUAGGCCAGUGGAAUUAACUAAAUAAUGGAAAGACAUGUACUAUGGCAUAACUGGAGCAGAACAAAUGUAUUACAACAGUAGUACACACUGAAAGCUUGUUUUAGUUGAAAUGGCAUUGUUGUUUUAGUAUGGACCAGUCACACUGAAAGCUUGUUUUAGCUGAAAUGGCCAGGUUGACAUAGUAUGGAUCAGUAUCAUGUCCCACUGUUUACUUGGUUCUCCCAACAUGAUUAUCCUAAAUUCUAGUAUGGAUCACUUCUCUAUUUUCAUUUACAUAUGCACUGACUAAUCAGAACAUGCUUGCCAACAUGCUUCAUGGGUGGUACAGAGCUUAGUCUGUUCCUUGCAACCAAACAAGCCACAGUGGGAACUGACUAACCAACCCAUCAUAAAAGCCACAGAGGUUGACAUAGUAACACAUUCAAACUCAGAUUCAAACUCAAACACACAUUCAGAUUUGGGCUCACAUUCAGAGUCAUGAUCAAACGCAGAUGCAUUCACAUUUGGAUUGAGGAAAGAACACAGGGAUGGAGGGGGUAUAGAAAAGAACGUUAACUAAAUUUGCUUUAAUUAAAAUUGUGCUCGAGUACAGCCGAACACACUUGAGUAGCGCAACGGUAAGGCUCAUGUUAUUCACCCUGAGCUCCCAGGUUCGAACCCUGUUGGAGCCAAUUUUUUGUUAUAUUUUUUUCUUUAUGCUCCAUUUUUUUGGUACAUGUUUAAUUUGUCUAAUAUUGCUUCUACUAAAACAAAAUUUGAAAUGAUUAUAUUUUUUCUUUAUGCUCCAUUUUUUUGGUAGAUGAUUAAUUUGUCUAAUAUUGCUUCUACUAAAACAAAGUUUGAAAUGAUUUUGAGAAAAUGGGCAUGCACUAAUAUUGCACCUCACAUGUAUCAUUGGCACGAGUGAGCCAUGUUCAUGCUUGUACAAAGACGUAUACUACCACCUUGUCGAAAUCGUUUGAAUUUUUUAUGGGAUGUUUAUAGAGCCAAACUAUGAUGCUUUGUGCAUCUGUGCGAUUUUCUGACCAAUUUUUCCUAUUAUUGAAAUUUUUGUUGGAUUAGUGAAGCAUAAUUGUUAAAAUAUGCUAAGAUAGCUAAAAAACUAAGUGAGGGUUGUGCAUAAUGUUGACAAUAAAGUUUCAACUAAUACCUAAGUGAGAGUUGUUCAUGCUUUUACAAGUUGUCUAGUACCACCUUGUCAAAACAAUUUGAAAUUUUAAUGGGAUGUUUGUCACUAGUAGAGAAAUGACUUUCCAUCCACCCCCUUUUGUCCCGGUUUAAAGUUGGCCCGGGACAAAAGGUUCACCAACCGGGACUAAAACUCGGUCACUGGUGGGGGGCUCACCAACCGGGACCUUUUAUCCCGGUUGCAAAGGCUAGUGGGAAAAAAAGACUCUGAGAGGCAUUUUAUCCCGGUUUGAAAUACCAACCGGGAUAAAAGACCCCCCUUUUAUCCCGGUUGGUAACACCAACCGAGAUAAAAGGGUCAAGAGCCUUUUAUCCCGGUUGGAAACACCAACCGGGAUAAAAGGGGGUCAUUUAUCCCGGUUGGUGUUUCAAACCGGGAUAAAAGGGUCCCCCAACGAGGUCAUUGGAAGAUGGCUGGAAAGGGAUUAAAUACUCGAACCCUUUUAUCCCGGUUGGAAACACCAACCGGGAUAAAAGGGUCUUUUAUCCCGGUUGGUGUUUCCAACCGGGAUAAAAGGGUCCCCCACGAGUUAAUACAAAAGGAUAGUAUCCCCUACAUAGUCAGAUGUGGUGUGUAGGUGGGAUGGCAAGGAAGCUACGCGCGAGGCUGGAGGUUGUGGGUUCGAAUCCCACGAACCGCGCACGUGCAUAUUUCGCGUGAAAAAUCGCGUGACUUGUGACUUGCGACGUGCGCGUGUGGGUGGGAGCUCGGGAUUUUUUUUUUGCAGCGCCGGCCGUGGGUGAACCCUUUUAUCCCGGUUGGUAUUACCAACCGGGACAAAAGGGGGGGGGGUCUUUUAUCCCGGGUCAAUCUAAGAUAGUUUUCUUGCACAUUAUCACAAAGCCAAAUUUAUAGAUGGGCAUAAAGCCCGAGCCCAUGAGCCCGGCACGAUAGAAUGAAAAUCUAUGAAUAAUGAAUGAAAAUCUGAGGUUAAUCAUUAUAAGAUUAUUUUAUCCAUCUUAAGAUAUUCUAGAUUUUAUCCUUUAUGUAUUCACAAAAUAACUACAAUAAAAGAAAAAUCAUGUAAUAAGAAUUCUCAAAUAAAUUGAGGUUAAUCAUUAAGCAUUAUUAUACUAAUGUAAUAUAUAAAGCAUCGACUAAAAGAGGCGAGCGCAACCACCGAGGGCGCCAAAAAGAAUUCACUCCUGAAAAAAAUACCGCCAAAAGCCCAAAACACCGAUUUAUUUAUCCAUAUCCCCCACUACUCGUCAACCCAUCCUCCAGUCAUCCACACCCCCCACCCCGAUCCAUUUCUCCAAGUCUCCAACCCUAGCCGCCGCCGGCGGCACACCGCCAUCGACGACCUCCUCACGAGCUGCGUCCACCAGUGGUCCUCUGUAUCCCUCCCCCUUUCUGGAACCCUAGCCGCCGCAGGUGGCUCACUUCCGCCAGCGACCUACUUCCUCUCCCACGAGCUGCGUCGCCGCCGCCAUCAAUCACCGCCGGUGGAUCUGCUUCCCCGUCGACUAGGCUUCACCGCACCACGUCUUCUUCCACUUUGAUGACUAUAGCCGCCAAGAAACUUGUCUACAUCCGCAACUAAGGCACAACCGCAAUGGUGGCGACAAGAGGUCAAGGUAGGAAGAGGUCUGCAGAAGAAGAUCAAGGUAAGCCACAACGUGUUCUGUUAUUUGUUCAAGUAGUACUACAAUUUUGUUGGUGCUCUGGUUUAGGUGCACAAUACAUGAGAUAUAAUGCAACAACACAGUACAAUGCAACAACACUUUGAUGAAUUUUUGUGGCUGUUAUCCACUUAUCCUUUCCUGUUUUAGUUAUCUGAAAUCAAUUGCACUGCGCAGUAAAGUAAAACCUAGAUCUUUUAAAAUGGGUGCAGUAGCAGUUGAAUAAGAGGCUGAAUCAUAAUAGUGGUUGUGUAUUUAUGAUGUUCCAAAAUCAUGAUAAUGGUAUGCCUCUUGGGAUAAUUAACUUAGGCAUUUUGAAAGGAUUGACAAUCCUAAUUUCUGGCACUCCUAGUAUUUCUUAUUGUUUUGAGCCCAAACUUUUACAGUAGCAAGAUGGCUAUUUUAUUUAUACAUGUCCUGUACUUUUUCUGAUUCCAUAUCUUACUGUGUGGUAGGUCGAGUGGAUUUCAGUGCCAUAUUGUAUAUGUGCUGAUCCUUAGAAGUUGUAUUGCAAUCAUACUGAUUGUACUCUGAUAGUUGUGAUGCUAGCCCUUAUGAUUUUUUUAAUACUUCUUGUGUCCAUAUAAUCUUGAUCCUUAGUAUUACUACCCUACAACCUGUUGGUGAUAAACACCUAGAUAAGACAGCCUGUUAGUAGACUAUAAGAACUGAACUUUACUACUUCUAAAUCAAUUGCACUGCAUAGUAAAGUAAAACCUAGAUCUUUUAAAUGGGUGCAGUAGGCAUUUCGAUGUGAUAAUUAACUUAGGCAUUUCGAAAGGAUUGACAAUCUUAAUUUUUGGCACUGCUAGUAUUCCUUAUUGUUUUGAGCCCUUAUGAUUGUGUUAAUACUUCUUGUGUCCAUAUAAGCAUGAUCCUUAGUAUUAAUACCUUACAACCCAUUGGUGAGAAACACCUAGAUUAGACAGCAUGGGAAUAGACUUUCAGAACUGAACAUAACUACUUCUUGUGUCACUGAUCUGAAUGUGUCACCUUUCUUAUAGUUGCAUUGGUAAUGAAAUUUCUUACUGCCUAAAAUUUCCAACAUGGACUGGUAGUAGCAAGUUAACGUCAAUCACUGUUUCACUGCUGUACUUUCUUAUUGUAAUAGAUACAAGGGUAAAUGAAAGUAAAGAACCUCGAAAAACUGAUUAUGAGAGAAGGCGGGAUGCACAAAUAGCGGAGAAUGCUAAGGUGUUUGAAGCACUUGGACUGCUAAAUCUAUCUACUGAAUUUAAUAAUUCUGUACCUGAACCUGCAACAAAGAAGGGGAAAAAAUCAGCAAACCAGAAAACAAAUAGUGAAGAUUCGGAUUCAUCGGAAUUUCUCCUUGAGGACAAUGAUCAAGGAGAUAGUGAUGAUGAUGACACUGAAUCUGAUGAGCAGCCACAACCCACUAAGGUGCUUCUUCUAUCUUCAAAAUACUGGCUAGGAAAAAUUUGCAUUGCAUUAGAUUGUUUUUAAACUGUUCUUUAAUAUAUGCCCUUGCUUUGUAGAUACCUAUUCUUUCUUUCUUACAUGAUCUUUAAUAUAUGCUCUUGUUUAUUAAUGCACAUGACUUACUACAUUUUUCCCACAGUGUCCUGCAGGCUAGAAGCGAAAAGUCCUCGCUUCAAAGAAGAAGAGAGUUUCCAACAUGGCUCCGGGAGUUAGGGCUACUAAGAGAGUGAGGGCACCUCAAGGUUCGCAGGUGCAACCUACUAGGGCCGAAUUAAGAACAUCAAAAAGGCUUCAACUGUCAGCAAGAGAUGGGCAGAGUGAACAUGCUCCUACAGAUGGUCAAGAUGAAAUACCACCAAGUUCUUUUACAGAUGCAGAGCAGGGCAAUGGAACUGGUGUUGAGGACAUUAUAGCCACAGAGGAAGAUAGUGGAGCUGGUGCUCAAGACAUGAUACAUGCUGAUGUAGACACUGAAGGCAAGUUAUUGUUUCUUUAUCAUUGAAAUAGAUCAACUCUUUUGCUGAUUUCCAUGAAACUAAAUCAUUUAACUGCAAAUUAUAUUUUGUAGCUCCUGCACAGAGAGCCCCAAGGAGACCCAGGCCACCCACCAAGGGAACACAGCUGGACAGGAUGACAAAAGCUAUGGGAAGGAGAAUGCCCGUAGCUGUUGCUGAAGGGAAAAAAAGGCCUCAUGAACCUGUUCAAGCAGCCAAGUUUGCAUCUGAGGCUGGUGUCAUCAUUCGGGAUAAGGUUCCUGUGCUACCACAUUGGAAAUUAUAUAAGAAGGAUGAUCAACAUUACAAAAAUUUUGUGGGAAAAAUCUCUGUAAGUGCAAUAUUGUUUUCUUGGUAAACUUGUAGACCUGCUAAACCUAAAUUAACUAACUUAUGGAAUUGUCAAAUGACUAGGGGCGCUUGGCGAUUAACACUAACGACAAGCCGACAGACGAUGCUUGCACCGAUGUGAUGCGCUCUGGGGUGCGACAAAGGCGUUAUCGGCUCAAGCAGAAAUACUUCAAUGGUGUAAGUGCUAAUGAGAUUAGCAAAACUUCUCCAGUUAACUGCAUGUCUGAUGAACAGUGGAGGGCACUAAUUGCAAAGUGGUCUGAUCCAAAGAACAUGGUAUAUUUUAUUCUUGUCAAUUAUCAUUUCUCAGUCAGUUUCCAAAUUAUCUUCUCAAUGUUAACCAAUGAUCUCAUCUGACAUUUAAUUCUCUUAUAGGAAACAAGUGAAAAGAACAAGCUGAAUCGUGGUAAAGUCAAGUAUCAUCAGACUACGGGUUCUCGCAGCUAUGUGGCACACUUACAUGCAUAUGUAAGUAUUUGAUUAUCUACAUAAGACUGACUUUGUAUCAUAAGACUGAUGACACUUUGUUGCAAUUGAUUCUCUGUGAAACAGAAGCAUCAGAGGAACAAUGCAGAACCUAGCACAGAUACCCAUGAAGAACUUGAUGUGGUGGAGGCCUUCACUUCCUGCCAUACCAGCUCCAAACAUGGUCUUAGUGAACCAGCAAGAGAAGCAGUUGUAAGUCUCUACAUCUGUAUCCAUGCAUGUUAGUUGAUGAUUACUAAAAUAAAGUUGUAAAAUCACCUUUAGCUCCAUCACUAGACCCACCCUGCUAGGAUUAUUGAUUACAAAAAUAUAGUUGAGAUGGUCAUGUACAAGUAAAAACAAGUAUCCAUGCAUGUUAGUUGAUGAUAAUAAGAGAGAAUGGCUGCAAUUGGUUAUCCAGAUUGAUUAUAUGUAGUUUGAAACUGUAUCUAGAUUGAUUAGAGAAUGAAUUGUUCAAAAGUUUGACAACACUAGAGUAAUCCACAUUGAUACUUCUCUGAUGUCACAAUCAAUUUGGCUUGUAUUAUUCAUAGAUGCCACAAUCUUCAGAUUUACACUGCAAGUACAAGCAUAUGCAUAUACCAGGUUACAAUUUUUAGAUUUUUACUGCAAGGGUUCUGACUUUAAUACUACAUGCUACAUUGCUAUCUGAAUUUCCAAAUAAAAUUAGCACUGCUAUCUAAAUCUUAAGGAUGUCUAGUCUACAUCAUCACUUUGAAUUUUACACUAAAAUAUUUAAGCUUAGUGAUGCUGCAGCCUUAGCAAUUGGAAACAAGCAUGCUGAUCAGGCUGAUCAUGUUCUGGUAACAGUACAAUAGAAUCAUUGCAUUUCAUUGGAUUGGCUUGUGGUGCUGAUCUGCUACUGAAAUAGGGACAUAUUUUUGUCCUUUAUGCUAUAUUUUAUUCUACCUCUAGUACACAUCUUGCUGUUUUUAUUUUAUAAAAUACAUCUUGACUUAUAUUUCCUCCUCAGAUUAAUGCAAUAAUUAUCAACUAAUGAUGGAUCAUUGUUGUUUUAGACUAAUAUGGAAGCUUUGAGGGCACAACCUGUGGCUGAAGGUGAGACAAGAGUAUCAAGUGUGCAGGUUGUGUCCCAGGUGCUCCCCAAGAACAGCUCAAACAGUUUCCUGAAGAGUGUUGGCAUCAAACCAGUGGGAACCUCCCAAGCAUCAUCAUCAUCAAAUGAAAUCGAGCUACGGGAACAACUAGCAGCUGAAGCUAAGGCUGCUGUACAAGAUGAACUCGAGGAUCUCAAGAAGAGAAGUGAAGAAGCUGAGGAGAAGCUGGCGAGGACAGAAAGAGAGCUGGAGGAGAUGAAGAAGCUGACUGAGAUUAACACCAAGGCAAUGGAGGAGAACAAUGCGCUGCUCAAGCGUAUCUUGUCCCUCAACAAUGCUUCUUCGACAUGAGCGCUGCUGGUGGUUGCCAAGACCACAAACUGUAGCUUCUAGUUGUUGGCAAGCUGGUGCUCCUGAUGGAUAUGCAAUCCUUAUGUGCUGGUGGUGAAAUAAGUUUGGUGAACUGAGUUGUUGGCAAGCUGGUGCUUCUAGUUUCCUGCUGGUGGUUGGUCAUUUUGUUUAGCACUUAAGUUGGUAGUGAUGAAAUCCAUGGUAUGUGAUAUGUUUGUACUGUUGGUGAACUAAGUUUGGUGAACUGAGUUUGUUGAAUUGAGUUUAGUUGCUGAUGAACUGAGUUUAGUAGUCUUGAUUAAGUUGUAUGGUAAUUGGAAUACUGGAUCUGUUAGCUGCUGGUGAUGUCUAUAUUAUUUGUAUUUUCUAAUGAAAUCAGACUGACCAUCUGAGCAGAAAUGUUGUCUUUGUGACGAUUGUAUAUUUUGUUCUGUGAUGACUUCAUAUGUUGUUCUGUGACGAAAAUGAGAAGCUACAACAGCGCGACACGUUGAAUAAUCACAGGAUGCCACGUGGCCCCCACAACAAGUGACACGUGGACAUUCUAUCCACUGGCCACGUCAUCCACCACGUGACAACCGCGUCAGCUGCCACGGCAAGCGACACGUGCCAGUAGACUCAGCAACACGUGUCAGUCCAGUCAUCAGCCACGUCACUGCCACGUUGUGGGACACGUCAGCUGCCAGCGUAGCAAACGCCGUUUGGCAGCCUAACAGAGCGGUAUGUUAUGACGAAAACAGGGAACAUCGGCGACAAAAACCUUUCGUCAUAGAAUGAAAUCCUUUCUGUGACGAUGCACGUUUCAUCAUUGAUUGAAAACACAUCUGUGACGAAAAAUGGACGUUUCGUCACCAUACGUAAUCAAUGACGCUCAUUCCAUGACGAAACUGUUUUCGUCACCACUUCGUCACAGAAAGUAGUCGGUGACGAUUGUGUAGUCUUCGGUGACGAAAGGGGAGCGUCAUUGAUGACCACUUCCCUAGUAGUGUAAAGGCCCCUCGGCGAACACGGCGCGCACGUACGCACUCCCCUGGCGACCCGGCCUUCUCUGCACUCUGAGCCACAAAAACUCCUCCGCGAGAACCGGUCUUCAGCUUUGCUCACAAGCCAAGUUGUGUUCCCCUCCGCUACUGGCGCCACGGCCAACGGUUUGACCAUCCCUGCAACUGCAACUCCUGCAGAACUACCAGCAUGCGCCGCACGCCAUGCUGGACUUGACUCCGGACGCAAACGCGAGCACGCACACGUGCGCUAUCCGGCUGAACCUACUACGAUACCUAGAACGUGGCCACACCACCGUCCUAGCCUGACACGAACUCGACACUGGACGCGAACACGAGCACCAACUCGUGCCCCCAAACAAGCAUGACGCACACACGCCAUGACUGAACACACACAUAUGUGCUAAGUCAAGAUUAGUGCUAACAAUUUCCCCCGUAAUCUUGACUUGCUUAUUCUACUUUCUAGACAUACUUCAAGGUAAUGUUGGUUCAUCAUCCGCCGUCGCAAGAAGCGCUUCUUCCUUCUUUGGCUUGGGACAUUCCCUGGCAAAAUGUCCACGGACGCCGCAAUUGUAGCAUUUACCUUUCUUUCCCGGAGACUUGAGCUUCUCCCAAGCCUGCCACUCAGCCGCCGUGAGCAGGAGCUGACCAUGACCGGUCUUGCUAGCUUGAGUGCGCCGUCAAGAACGCUCGUUGAAGGCCUUCAACCUCCCAAGCGCCUCCUCAAACGGCAUCUUCUCCACGUCACAAAACUGCUCGAUCCCCACAACGACAGGGUAGAGCUGAUCUGGGACGGUGUCGAGGAGCUUCUUAACCAUGGUGGAGUCGUCAAGUGUUGCGCCGAGGUUGAUGUACUUCUCCGCCAUGCCACUAAUUUUGCCGGCGUAGUCAUCCAAUGGCUCCCCCUCCUUCAUGCGCAGCAAGUCGAAUUCACCUUUGAAGGUUGAAAGAUGAGCGGCCUUGACGCGGUCGGCUCCGACAAACCUCAUCUUGAGGCUGUCCCAAAGCUCUUUCGCCGUCUUCUUUUGUGACACCUGCAAGAGAAUGUCCUCCGGUAGCGCUUGAAGAAGUUGUGCCCUCGCCGUCUUGUCCUUCCGUGCGUCCGCCACCUCGCCUUCCGCCGGAUUCACGUCCUCCCAAAGGCCCUGAGCAUCAAGGAUGGCCUCCACCUUGAUCGCCCACGCGGUGUAGUUCGUCGAUGAGAGCAGCGGGUACGCGAGCGAGACACCGCUACUUCCCCCGGCACUGUGCGGAACCAUCGCCAUGGAGUCGAGGUAGUAGCACAGGAUCUUGGGCAUACACGGCUCUGGUACCAAUUGUUGGAACUAGCUCUAAGAUCACUCACGCUCACGCAUAGACGCAAGGAGGAAGAUGAACUGUAGUUUCCGGCGACGAACGCUACAGCCGCCGAACGACCUGUAUCUUGGCCUGCUAUUCAACUCAAAAUGGACUCGAACCAACUGACACACAAGGAUUACAUAGCCAUUUAAAGGCCCCUCAGCGAACACGACGCGCACGUACACACUCCCCUAGUGACUCGGCCUUCUCUGACUCUGAGCCACAAAAACUCCUCCGCAAGAACCGGUCUUCAGCUUCGCUCACAAGCCAAGUUGCGUUCCCCUCCGCUACUGACGCCACGGCCAACAGCUUGACAAUCCCUGCAACUGCAACUCCUGCAGAACUACCAGCAUGCGCCGCACGCCAUGCUGGACUCAACUCCGGACGGAAACGCGAGCACGCACACACGCGCUAUGCGGCUGAACCUACUACGAUACCUAGAACGUGGCCACACCACCGUCCUGCCCUGACACGAACUCGACACUGGACGCGAACACGAGCACCAACUCGUGCCCCCAAACAAGCAUGAUGCACACACGCCAUGACUGAACACACACAUAUGUGCUAAGUCAAGAUUAGUGCUAACAAUUUUCCCCCUAUUCUUGACUUGCUUAUUCUACUUUCUAGACAUACUUCAAAGUAAUGUUGGUUCAUCAUCCGCCGUCGCAAGGAGCGCUUCUUCCUUCUUUGGCUUGGGACAUUCCCUGGCAAAAUGUCCAUAGACACCGCAAUUGUAGCAUUUACCUUUCUUUCCCAGAGACUUGAGCUUCUCCCGAGCCUGCCACUCGGCCGCCGUGAGCAGGAGCUGACCAUGACCGGUCUUGCUAGCUUGAGUGCGCCGUCGAGAACGCUCGUCGAAGGCCUUCAACCUCCCAAGCGCCUCCUCAAACGGCAUCUUCUCCAUGUCACAAAACUGCUCGAUCCCCGCAACGACAGGGUAGAGCCGAUCUGGGACAGUGUCGAGGAGCUUCUUAACCAUGGCGGAGUCGUCGAGUGUUGCGCCGAGGUUGACGUACUUCGCCGCCAUGCCACUAAUUUUGCCGGCGUAGUCAUCCAAUGGCUCCCCCUCCUUCAUGCGCAGCAAGUCGAAUUCGCCUUUCAAGGUUGAAAGAUGAGUGGCCUUGACGCGGUCGGCUCCGACAAACCUCGUCUUGAGGCUGUCCCAAAGCUCUUUCGCCGUCUUCUUUUGUGACACCUGCAAGAGAAUGUCCUCCGGUAGCGCUUGAAGAAGUUGUGCCCUCGCCGUCUUGUCCUUCCGUGCGUCCGCCACCUCACCUUCCGCCGGAUUCAGGGCCUCCCAAAGGCCCUGAGCAUCAAGGAUGGCCUCCACCUUGAUCGCCCACACGGUGUAGUUCGUCGAUGAGAGCAGCGGGUACGCGAGCGAGACACCGCUACUUCCCCCGGCACUGUGCGGAACCAUCGCCAUGGAGUCAAGGUAGUAGCGCAGGAUCUUGGGCAUACACGGCUCUGGUACCAAUUGUUGGAACUAGCUCUAAGAUCACUCACGCUCACACACAGACGCAAGAAGGAAGAUGAACAGUAGUUUUCGGCGACGAACGCCACGGUCGCCGAACGACCUGUAUCUUGGCCUGCUAUUCAACUCAAAAUGGACUCGAACCAACUGACACACAAGGAUUACAUAGCCAUUUAAAGGCCCCUCAGCGAACACGGUGCGCACGUACGCACUCCCCUGGCGACCCGGCCUUCUCUGCACUCUGAGCCACAAAAACUCCUCCGCGAGAACCGGUCUUCAGCUUCGCUCACAAGCCAAGUUGCGUUCCCCUCCGCUACUGACGCCACGGCCAACGGCUUGACCAUCCCUGCAACUGCAACUCCUGCAGAAGUACCAGCAUGCGCCGCACGCCAUGCUGGACUCGACUCUGGACGCAAACGCGAGCAUGCACACGCGCGCUAUCCGGCUGAACCUACUACGAUACCUAGAACGUGGCCACACCGCCGUCCUGCCCUGACACGAACUCAACACUGGACGCGAACACGAGCACCAACUCGUGCCCCCAAACAAGCAUGAUGCACACACGUCAUGACUGAACACACACAUGUGUGCUAAGUCAAGAUUAGUGCUAACCCCUCCCCCCCCCCCCCCAGGCAUUGACAAGGAUAAGCUGGCCGCCAGUACCCAACAGUUUGGCUUUCCAGCCCGAGAGGUAGCGGUCAAAACUAUCAAUCAACGGUUUGUAAUCGAUCACUCGAAGCUUGUGGGGGAGAGAGGCAAGCCAAGAUAUGCCCGGGGAAAGGUGCAAACUGUGCAGCCCAGAAUGGAUGCCAUGCUCGUAGCUUCAGCUAGCGGCAAAUGCAUUGGAACAAAAGUGGAUUUGUGGAAGUUGAUAGCAAGGCCGGUGGCGGCAGAGAAGUCGUCCAAAAUGGAUUUAAGAACUCGCAUUGAUCUGGUGUCCCCUCUGGUAAUGAUCAAGGUAUCAUCGGCGUAUUGCAAAACGGGGCAAGGGAGUGACUGGUCAAUUGGGUAGCACAGCUCACUUCUGGCCGAGGCACAUUUUAAUUAUUAGACGUUGAAGAACGUCGGCCACCACGAUGAAUAGGUAAGGGGAGAUGGGAUCCCCCUGUCGAAGCCCACGGCGACAGGUGAUCCAGCGCCCAGGAACUCCGUUUAGCAUGACAGAUGUUCGACCACUUGACAAAAUCUUCCCAAUCCAACCACACUACCGAUGUUACAUUUCUUACAAACGAAUUGGGAUUAAUUUUAAAACUUUGCAUGCUUCUACAACAUCACCUCCUCUCUACAUGCGUGAGUUUUGUUUGGAACACUUCAAAACUUCCAGACAAGCGUGAAUUGGGCCCCAUCAAAGUGCCCCUGCAAGAGGAAUAUCGUUUGUUCGUUAUCCAUAUCUGACAGAUACAGAGAUGUUGCCGCAUCAAGGCAUUACCCACUGGACAGCAGCCGCUCAGCGAUCAAAAAUAUGCGGGGGGUGUUCGGAAGACGGCGGGUAAACUUUAGCCCCUAUUAUAUCGGAUGUUUGACACUAAUUAAGAGUAUUAAACAUAGUCUAAUCAUAAAACUAAUUGCACAACUUCUAGGCUAAAUCGCGAGACGAAUCUAUUAAGCCUAAUUAGUUCAUGAUUUGAUAAUGUGGUGCUACAGUAACUAUUCUCUAAUGAUGAAUUAAUUAGGUUUAAUAGGUUCGUCUCGCAAUUUAGCCUAGGGGUUCUGCUAUUAGUUUUGUAAUUAGCUCAUGUUUAGUCCUUCUAAUUAGCAUCCGAACAUCCGAUGUGACAGGGCUAAAGUUUAGCCCUUGCUAUCCAAACGCAUAUUGCUAUCUAAGUGGUGCCUGUUGGCCGAAUGUUUAUUUGCCAUUCCACAUAUUGUUAGUGGCAAUUAGGUUUAGCUUCAUUGUUUGCUCUUCGAUCGGAGAAGGGAUGCACGUAAUAACCAGUAUCGUUUACGGUGCAAAUAAUCUUCCACGAACCAGUAUUGUUUCAUAAGCUACCUUUUGGUCAUUAUCCUUAGCUUUUCUCUCUCUGUAUACUGCCCUACACUGUGUCUGAGAUAGGUGGCUGAUAAUGUGUAUUCCACUACUGUAGUCGUGAAUAAUGACAGCAGGUCAUUCUUCGUCUCUGGUUUCCUCCACAAUGAAUCCAACAUCGCCACUAAUGGAGUAGGGUUUGAUGGCCUGAUGAAAGUAGGGCCUCUAUAAAGCGGAGCAACAUCUGACGCUUCCAGCACCAGUGACUCCUAUAAAAUGCCACGCACUCUAUCGCUACGAGCACAUCAACAAUAUAACACAUCGCCUUCGUGCGCAUAGGCGUGGAAGCGCAUCAAUACACAGAUUAACAAAUGGAUCGUACUCGCAAGUUACAACUCCCAUACCUGUAGUCCGUUGUUGAUUAAACUAGCUGCGGCGAUCCAAGACAUACAUGGCGCCGUCUACUUUCGUCUUGCUCCUCGCUCUCCUCCUGGCCUCUUUGGCAGCUACGUCGGAUGCCUCGUUUGACCUCCGCGCCGAGCUCAACCAUCCCUAUGCCGGCAGCCCGCUCUCAAACCACGAGAUGCUCCGCGACGCCGCCAUGGCGAGCAAGGCCCGGCGGCGCGCGUGGAACGACGCCGCUAGCGUGGCUAUAGCGGCGGAUCAUGGCGCCAUCUCCGACGCCGACGUGCUGGUCAGGCCGUUCGGCAGGUCGGAGCACACGCUGACCGUCGGCGUCGGCACCCCACCGCAGCCGCGCACGCUCCUCCUCGACACCGGCAGCGACCUCAUCUGGACGCACUGCAAGCUCUUGGGUGGGAAGCACCGCGAGCCGCUCUACGACCCUGCCGGGUCGUCCUCCUUCGCCGCCGUCCCCUGCGACGGCAGGCUGUGCGAGACGGGCAGCUUCAACACCAAGAACUGCUCCAGCAACAAGUGCCUCUACACCUACGACUAUGGGAGCGCCACGACCAGAGGCGAGCUCGCGUCCGAGACCUUCACGUUCGGCGAGCACCACAAGGUCUCGGUCUCCCUCGACUUCGGGUGCGGAAGGCUCACCUCCGGCAGCAUCGACGGCGCCUCCGGCAUCCUAGGGAUCAGCCCGGACAAGUUAUCCUUGGUGUCGCAGCUACAGAUACCGAGGUUCUCCUACUGCCUCACUCCUUUCCUCGACCGCGAUACAAGCCACAUGUUCUUCGGGGCAAUGGCCGACCUGUCCAAGUACAGGACCACAGGGCCUAUCCAGACAACUUACUUAGUGAGGGACCCGAGUGGCAGAAACUACUACUAUUACGUGCCCUUGAUCGGCAUCUCUGUUGGGACGAAGCGACUCAACGUGACGGCGUCGAGCUUCGCCAUCGGGCUCGAUGGCGGUGGCGGCACCUUUGUCGACUCAGGAGACACGACCGGCAUGCUUCCGUCGGUGGCGAUGGAGGCCCUUAAGGAGGCUCUGGCGGAGGCCGUGAAGCUACCAGUUCUGAAUGGCACGGACCUUGGCUACGAGCUCUGCUUCCAGCUGCCGAAAGGCAUGACUGUGGAGGCGGUGCAAGCGCCGCCGCUGGUGUACCACUUCGACGGUGGUGCCGCCAUGGUGCUUCCGCGAGAGAACUUCUUCGUCGAGGCGAGCCCGGGGGAGAUGUGCCUAGUCAUCAGCUCGGGUGGUGCCCGAGGGGCUAUCAUCGGCAACUACCAGCAACAGAAUAUGCACGUCCUCUUCGACGUGCAGAACCACAAGUUCUCCUUUUCGCCCACACAAUGUGAUCAGAUUUGAGCCGUGAAAUAUGAACCCCCACUUUGGAGUGGAGUUGAAUAGUGCAGAAAUAGCAGACAAAAUCAAGCUAUUAGAGAUGGCUCGUGCAUUCCGAAGUCGAAGCCAGUGCAAAGGUCAUAGUAGAAUAAGUAGCAUCUCUUGCAGAUGGCGUGUACUUGUCAUCCUUAAGGGAUGCAAGUUAAAAAACUAAUCCGACUUUUAGAGCAAGAGUCUCCCAAAAAAUUCUUCCCAAAACUAUAUAUUAGAAGCUCUACUAAAAAUUUCUUUCCCCAAAAUCAUAUCAUCCCACAGCGAUCCCCAAUCACUACUACAGAACUGACUUUAGAUCCCACCCCCUUUAGUCUCGGUUUAAUUUCGGCCAGGGAGAAAAGUGGAUGCGCCACGGUAGGCUGGAAUGGGGCGCACACUCUCGGUUCUUUUUUUUGCAACCGGGACUACAGGCCACCCUUUAGUCUCAGUUAAAACGGCUAGUUUCCGGGCACCAACGGCGCCACCCUUUACCCCCGGUUGGAGCCACCAACCGGGACAAAAGAUCCAACCUUUUGUCCCGGUUGGAGUUACCAACAAGGAUAAAGUGUUUACUCCUGGUUGGUAACACCAACCGGGACAAAAUCUUAUCUACACGAGCUCUUUCUUCCUCCUCCACUUCUCCAGCCCGAGCCACUCCACUCCACAAAGACAGAGAAGCUCAUCCUCUCCAUGGCGCCGAAGCAAGCCUAGGGGAGGUGCUGCUAAAUUUUUUUUCCUCAUUUCCAUGGGGAUUUCACGCAUCCAAAGUGUUGUGAAGGUUAGCUACUUCAUACUCCGUUCAUUUAUUGUUGUUAAGCUUUGUUUUAUACUUUAGAGAGGGAGAAAAGUGAGUUUGUUUGUUGUUAAGCAUGUAGAGGAUUUGUAUUUAUACAUGUUGUUGACGUUAGAUUUUGACACGUAUGGGAUCGGCAUCAAGGGAGGAAAAGAUUGGCUAAUGCGGUGGAUUAAAAGGUUACGAUUGGGAAUCGGCCUAUUGGUGCUACAGUUGAGAAUCGGGCGAUUGGUGCUACAGUGUUUUGACGGAUGAAGUUGGUGGAGAUCGACCGAUUGGAAGGCUGGAGCUAUUGGGCCAAUAUGGGCUUAAAGUGGGUUAGAGAAAGAAGAUAGAGGAAGUUUGGCCCGUGGGAGUAUAAUAACCAACUCCGAUACGAGUUGUGUUUGUAAAUAUUUAUUUUCGUUUAAAAUUAGAGAUAGAUACUAGUCGGUUAGGGAAACAGUUGUAACAGGCUAUAAAUAGCCAUCUUUAGAGAUUUGUAAACAACACAUCAAUCAAUACAAACAAUCUACUUUUUCAUCGUACUUUACUUUCAAGUCGGCGACUUCGCCAAUACAUCUUUUUCUUUCACGAGUUUGUACGGGUUGGCAGGACUGCAUCGACACGAUCUCCAGCCAAUUCUGUAAGUUCCGUCUAUCGAGUAAUAUCUAAGCUUUAACUUCGGGCGCAUCGCUGUCGUUUCGUUUAGAUUUAUUCACCAGUUAUCGAUAUUUACUAGAAUCAUAGGUUUUGUCUAUUGUUCUAGUUUUAUCACCAGUUAUCCAGCUUGAGAUUUGAAUUGUCGGCUUUAUUGUCAUUAUUCUUGUUUAUCAUUAUACAGCCAAUUAGAUCUAUUUCAAGUGUAACUUCGUAGCGUUGUUUAGUCUGCUCUAGUAGUUUCUUUACAAUCAUUGCGUGAUUAUCGUCUGUUCUAUAGCCGAUCAUCUUCAUAGGAAAUCGGCCGAUUCGCUGAUACGCUUUUCGAGACAGACCGGAAUUUUAGCCGAUUGAAACCCCUGGAAUUUAACACGUUUCUUUCCUUAUCAAUCAACAGGUCAGAUUGACUGGCACGCCGUGCAAACCGCUCCUGGACGAUCACCCAAACAGGAGCUAAGUAGAUUCUCCCAGAUCGUGUGUCUGACGCUGAAGGCCAUCGGCCGAUUUCUAGCGCCAACACACUUUUAGCACGCCCAGUGGAACCACCUCAACAUCUAACAUGUCAAAGACUGCCAAAAUCUCCGAAGACAAUGUCAUCGAGGUUACAGAGGCAGAUCUCAAGGACGAUCAGAAAGAAGAAUAGGCAAGACACCUAGAAGACUACAAGAAGGUAUACCUGCAAUCUUUCAGUCGUACCAGAAGCGGGGAGGCCAUCAAGAAAGCUCCUCUUCCAACCCCCCGCCAGAUCACCAUCGCUGAGGACUUGGGCAAGAUGUCCAACAUGAUUCAACAAUCCGUUUACCAGGCUUUCAUCGACCAAUCCUCAGUGAUGACCGACACGGUAUACAAUGCCGUCAUCAGUUCCCUGGUCAGCGGAGUAGCUCAAGGAUAUCAGGGGCCAGCGUACGCCUCGUCUAUUGUAACUCCAGUCAGAAGCUUACCAGGCACAUCUCACUCGGCUCCUCAGCCGAUACCGACACAACAUGGAGGAUACAACACCUCAAUGCCACCAAGAUACAAUGGCGCGUCAUGCUUUCAAACGCAAGGGCUGUCUCAGCCUACUCAGCUUUCCUCUGUGCAAACUCUGCCCUCGAACUCAGUGCCUUGGGGGGCACCAGCAGCGGCAACUAUUCUAGACCAGUCGGCCGGUUAUGGAGGCUCUCCGAUCCAAGCACCGUUCCAAUCGGCUAUCCGGCUGACGGUCCCACAGUAUCAACCGGCCACGUCAGAAGUCGGCAGGGGGGCAGAUGCUGCAAAAGCACUCAGAAGUGCGGCACCGAUGAUGCUGUACGAUGGGACGGCAGAUUUGCUACGCCACCAACAGUCAACUGCUCAGCCGGCCACGUUGCCACAAAAUCCGCCGCACGCUUUGAUCCAUCACCCAGCCAUCCCACCGCAGAUCCAUCAACAUGUGCCGAUCCCUCAACCAGUCGUUCAUCAGCAGCAAGUGGAUUGGACAGCAAGGAUAGCAGAGGUGAUUCAAGAUCAAUUUGGGUUGAAGCCGAAAGAACAGACCUAUAUGUAUAAAACGCCGUACCCACCUGCCUAUGACUUUUUGCCAUUUCCCUAUCGGUAUAAAGUUCCCGACUUCACCAAGUUUUCAGGAUUGGAUGACACUUCAACUGUGGAACACGUCAACAGAUUAAUCAUCCAGUGCGGAGAGGCUGCCACACAAGAUGCUCUGCGGGUGCGUCUGUUCUCUUCGUCACUAUCCGGGUCAGCUUUCCAGUGGUUCACUACACUACCGCCCAAUUCCAUCAUUACUUGGGCCGACCUAGAAAAGUAGUUCCACAAAUAUUUCUACGCGGGAGUCCACGAGAUGAAUUUCUCAGAUUUGACCAGCCUCAGGCAGAGGAGCGAUGAGCCAGUGACCAAUUAUGUGCAAAGGUUCAGAGAGGUCAGAAACAAAUGCUACACCCCAGUCCUAACCGACGCGCAGCUGGCCGAUAUCACCUUCCAAGGUCUCCUGCCACAUAUCAAAGAGAAGUACGCUUCCCAGGAGUUCGAGAGCUUAAGUCAAAUCAUUCAUUGAUUAGCCGGUCAAGAAGUACGCCCUUUUGAUCAGCGGAGAAAUUUUUAGAAAAAGGUGGCAUUACUUGGAGGGAUCUGAAUCUAAAGAGAAAGCGGAAAUCGGCCUAGCAGAAUGGGUCAAAGGGAAGAAGCCUAUAUCAUGUCCUUUCGGGAAGAAAGAGCCAGAAGCGUUCGGUUUUGACACGUCCAAGGCCGACAAAAUUUUCGACUUGCUUCUCCAAGAGGGGCAGAUCAAGCUCUCACCUUACCAUACCAUUCCAUCGGCCGAGCAACUCAAAAAGAUGAAAUACUGCAUGUGGCACAACGCCACAUCUGACGACACGAACAAGUGCAAAAUCUUCCGUCAGCAGAUACAGUCAGCCAUUGAGCAAGGCAGACUCAAAUUCGAAGUCCCGGCGAAGCCAGUAAAGCCGAUGAAGAUCGAUCAGCAUCCUUUCCCCACUAACAUGGCUGACACGGGAAGGAACGCACUUCAAACCAAAGUGCUGACGUCGGAAUCGGCCAAGAAAUGUGGCGCUGUGGACCCCAGAAAUCAGGCUACGGUUGAAGAUGUCAAAGGGAAGAGACGGGUCAAAGACGAGGGUGAAGGAUUGGAGAGACCGCGUAGACCUAUCACCUCCCAAUUCUUGCUCAACAAAUAUCAGCGGCAGCAGGAAAGUUUGAGGCACCGUGAAGAGAUGACACGCCGACACGAAGAUCAUUGGCGAUGCCCGUUCUUCAUCCACUGCUGGGAAAAUAACAUCAGAUUACCGUCAGCCGAUAAUUGCCAUGAGUGCAGCGGUCCAUAUCUUGACAAUCGCCCAUUCAAGAGGUCACGCUCCAGAGACAAACCGCCAGCCAAACCAGUGAACCCCAGGUGGUGCCCCGAUGGAUUGACCAAAUCUCAAAAAUGAAGAAUCCACCGUCUGCGCCAAUGGGAACAACAAGAAGUAGAGCAGAGGUGGAUGGUGGAUAAGAAAUAUGACAGGUCUUGAGUCUAGCGCCCCAAAAGAAACAACAAUAAGGAAGGCGACAACUAGGAAUCGGCAGCUGACGUCAGCAUGGUCUUCAUCUUGCCGUUGGAGUUCAUGGCUCCCGCCGAUCGGGAUGACACGACAAAGAUGGAGGAGCAGAUGGCGCAAUUGGCUUUGGAGCCAAUGACAGCCACUUUUGAGAAACCAGAAGAUGCAAAACGACAACAUCUCAAGACUCUGUUCCUCAAGGGACAUGUCAAUGUUCGACCUUUUACCAGGCUACUGGUAGAUGGAGGUGCUGCAGUCAACAUCAUGCCGUAUGCAUGUUCCGGAAACUGGGCAAAAGCGAUGAAGAUCUGACCAAGACGGACAUGAUGCUCAAAGACUUCGAAGGCAACGUGUCUCCCGCCCGUGGGGCACUCUGCAUCGACCUCACCAUCGGCAAUAAGACCAUUCCCACUACUUUAUUUAUUCUUAAUAGCAAAGGGUCCUACAAUAUGUUGCUCGGUCGUGAUUGGAUACACACGAAUUGCUGCGUCCCGUCUACAAUGCACCAAUGCCUCGUACAAUGGGUCGGCGACAACAUCGAGAUAGUCACCGCCGAUUCUGCCUACAAUGUUGCGGCGGCCGACGCACAACAGUGGAGCAGCGAAUACAUCAAGUGCAUAUCCGGUAGAACUUGGGACACCGAUUUCCUGAAAGUGACCGAUUUUGGCCUACAGCCGAUCCGAGCAGUCGGCCCUGAAGAUUCAGAUUAGAUGGAUCAGUUCGUCCGAGAAGACGGGAAGCUUAAGCAUGGGUUUACGUCGGCCGAUUCAUCGGAGAUGGUGGAUUUAGGAGAUAGUAGCAAGCCAAGGCUGACGUACAUUAGUGCUAGCUUGGAUCCCGAGUAAAAAUGUAAAUUGACAAGUUUAUUAAAAGAAUUUAAAAAUUGUUUUGCUUGGGAAUACCAUGAGAUGCGUGGUCUAGACCGGUCCAUUAUCGAACACCGGUUGCCUAUAAAACCAGGAUAUCGGCCGUAUCCGCAGCCUGCACGACGAUGCAACCCUAAAAUUCUACCUGAUAUAAAGGCCGAGAUUACAAGAUUGAUUGAAGCGAAAUUUAUUCGGCAGUGCCGUUACACCGAGUGGAUCUCUAAUAUUGUACCCAUAUACAAGAAAAAUGGAAAGCUGCGCGUGUGCAUUGACUUCAGGAACCUUAAUCAGGCUACGCUGAUGGUUGUCUAUCCAAUGCCGACAGCCGAUGUUUUGAUAGAUGCCACUGCAGGACAUAAAGUCAUCAGUUUCAUGGACGGUAAUGCUGGGUACAAUCAAAUAUUAAUGGCCGAAGAAGAUAUUUUGAACACGGCUUUCAGGUGCCCGGGCCACCUCGGUUUAUUCGAGUGGGUAGUAAUUACCUUUGGAUUAAAAAACACCGGCACCACGUAUCAACGAGCUAUGAAUUAUAUUUUUCACAAGCUUAUUGGUGCGUUGGUGGAAAUCUACAUCGAUGACGUUGUAGUUAAGUCAAAAGGACAUCAGGAACAUCUGGCCGAUUUGCGAGAAGUGGUGGAGUGCACGAGGAAGCAUGGUUUGAAAAUGAACCCGAACAAGUAUGCAUUCGGUGUGUCGGCCGGACAAUUCCUAGGAUUCAUGGUCCAUGAGCACGGGAUAGAAGUCAACCGGAAGAUCAUAGCUGCCAUCCAUAAGGUUGUAGCCCCACAGAAUAAAACUGAGCUGCAGUCCCUAAUUGGCAAAGUCAACUUCAUCAGAAGAUUUAUAUCCAAUUUGUCCGGGCGUAUUCAAGCUUUCACUCCUUUGUUGAAGCUGAAAUCCGAUCAGGAAUUCGUGUGGGGAGAAGAACAGCAAAAAGCGUUGGAAGACAUCAAGCAAUAUCUGGUUUCGCCACCUGUAUUAGUCCCACCACAGGCUGAUAAGCCCUCCAGACUAUACUUAUUGGCCGAUGAACGGGCUAUCGGAUCGGUGCUGGUACAGGAGUUCGACGGAAAAAAAACGGGUAAUAUAUUAUGUCAGCAGAAGACUCCUGGAUGCCGAGACAAGGUAUUCCGCGGUAGAGCGGCUGUGCCUGUGUCUGUAUUUCUCAUGUACCAAACUCAAGCACUACUUGUUGUCGGCAGAAUGCAUAGGCGUGUGCAAAGACGACGUAGUAAAGUACAUGCUAUCAUUGCCAAUUUUGAAAGGACGGAUUGGAAAGUGGAUCCUGGCUCUGUCAGAGUUUGACCUAAGGUACAAAUUGGCCAAAGCUGUUAAAGAAAAAAGUCAUGGCCGAUUUCGUAGCUCAGCAUUGUGGACCGGAAGUUGCUGUCGUUGAACCAGUUCCAUGGACUCUAUACUUCGAUGGCUCUUCGUGUGGGGCCGGUCAGGAAUCGGCAUCGUUCUCAUAUCGCCUCAGGGGGCAAGUUAUGAUUUCUCUCUGCCGAUAGAAGCAUCCGCAACCAAUAAUCAGGCGGAAUACUUAGCUGUCCUGAAGGGUAUCCAAUUGUUGAGAGAAAUCAAAGCCGAUGCUGUGGAAAUUUUUGGGGAUUCCAUGCUCAUCGUAGAUCAAUUAACGAGGAGAUCUGAAUGCAAGGAUGACGUAUUGAGGAUUUACUACGAAGAUUGCCUCCAACCUUUAAAAGAAUUCAAGUCCGCGGUUAUUGAGCAUAUUCCCAGAAAUUACAAUGAAGAGGCCAAUAGGCUUGCCCAGCACGCGUUCGGAUAUCGGCCGAUUCAAGGCGCCAUGACUCUGGAACUCGCGGCCGACGAUUGGCGAAAGGAGAUCGCCGAUUACUUGAAGGAUCCAUCCAGGAAAGUAGAUCGGCGAGUGCGUUUUCAAGCCACAAAAUAUGUGCUACUCAAAGAUGAUUUGUUUAAUCGAACGAUUGAUGGAGUUCUGCUCAAAUGCCUAGGAACGGAAGAAGCGAAAGUCCUGAUGGGAGAAAUUCACGAAGGCAUGUGUGGAGCUCACCAAUCGGAUCACAAAAUGAAGUGGAUGAUUAGAAAUAACGGGUAUUAUUGGCCGAUGAUACUCGAAGACUGCUUUAAAUAUUAUAAAGGGUGUCAAGAUUGUCAGAAGUUUGGCAACGUGCAGCGUGCACCAGCCUCGGCUAUGAACCCGAUAAUCAAGCCAUGGCCGUUCAGAGGUUGGGGAAUAAACCUCAUCGAACAGAUUUAUCCUCCAUCAAGCAAGGGACACAGUUCAUAUUAGUAGCCACUGAUUAUUUUACCAAGUGGGUGGAGGCAGUCUCAUUGAAGGCCGUGACAUCGGCCGCUCUGGUCGAUUUUGUAAGGGACCACAUUGUUUAUCAUUUCAGUAUCCAUCAAACCAUCACAACUGAUCAAGGGACGAUGUUCACUUCAGGAGAGUUCGAGGAGUGCACCGCCGAUAUGGGAAUUAAGUUGUUGAAUUCUUCUCCGUAUUAUGCUCAAGCUAACGGUCAAGCCGAGUCGUCCAAUAAGGGGAUAAUCAAGUUGAUCAAGAGGAAGAUAGAAGAACAACCUAAGAAGUGGCACCUAUGUUUGACUGAGUCUUUAUGGGCUUACAGGAUGGCCUGCCACGGGGCCACUAAAAUAUCUGCUUAUCAAUUGGUAUAUGGUCACGAGGCAGUAUUGCCUUGGGAAUUAAGGACGGGGUCAAGACGCAUAUCGCUCCAAGAUCAGUUUACGGUCGAUGACUAUUCCCUCCUCAUGAAGGGAGAGCUCGACAAUUUGGCAGGUUAGCAAUUAAGGGCCCUGAUCAGCAUUGAAGAAAACAAGAAAAGGGUGGCCAGGUGGUACGAUAAGAAGGUCAAGGUCAAACAAUUCUCUCAAGGAGAUUUGGUAUGGAAGUUGGUGCUGCCGAUUGGGUCUAAAGAUCCUAAGUUCGGUAAAUAGUCGCCCACUUGGGAAGGGCCGUAUAGAAUCGGCCGAUGCGCUCCGAGAAAUGCGUAUAUACUAGAAACUAUCGAAGGAGAGGAAUUCACGAGAGCCUUGAACGGAAGAUAUCUGAAAAGAUACUAUCCUAGUAUAUGGGUGAAUGCGUAAUUGACGGUAGGGUGCAUCAAGAUGACAUGGACAACUCCUAUUGGCUCUUGUUGGUAUAGCCGAUGUAAAGAUAACAUCGCCUUAAGGACGAAACAUUCAACCAAUUCGGCCGAUUUAUUAUUCGGUACAAACGACAAAGUACAUGGCCGACAUGGUACAAGUCGCCCUUAGAACAAAAAGUACCAACACACCUAUGGACCACGUUUUUUCUUAAUCUCCCUCUCGAUCCGACCUAAUUCUAUCAAAAGGUGGAUGCUCUUUUUCUCUAGAUCCUCCAUGGUGGCUUCAACCUCGACUUGACGAGGAAGUCGGUGGCUCCUGUCAAGAGGAGGUUGGGAGGUCCCCACUGCGGCAUCCUCGAGGGCGACUGGGCGAGAGAGUGGGUGACUCCUUUCAGUAGGCGGCCGCCUAGAGCAGUUGGCAUCCAUAUGGUCUAGGAUCUUCUGAACGUCAGUGGGGAUGUGAUCUUUGAGUUCUUCGUGAUGAGCCCUGAUCAGAUCUUUGUCCGCCUGCGACAACGGUUCGUCGGAAUGCAUGACUUCGACCGCUCGUUCCAGUUCAGGACUAAGGCGUCUCGGCUGGAAAUCAACAAGCAACCAUUCAUCGUCAGACCGGUUGAAAUUUUAGGCGGAGGAACGAAGGAGGGUUUCGUACCUGAUUGACGGAGAAGGAAGAAGAGGAAGAAGACAUCUCCGCACCUAGUCUGAGGAUAUAGAAAUCAAACUACUAGAGGAAAAGAGGAUGGGUGAUGUGAAUGUCUUCGGAAAUGAUACGGGGCCUCAUAUUUAUAGAAGGAAAAGGGCGAAGGGUUGGUAAGACGCGUCCCAUCAGAGUAAAAGGGGCAAUAAAUGAAAAGCUGCUGCAAAGGAUGGUUCAGGUUUGAAUCCACACGCCAACGGCAGAAGGACAUUAAUGUUUUUACAGAACAUUCAGUGCUUUUACAAUUUACCCGAGAAGGGCAUUAAUGGCCGCAAUCACUCGCUGCCUAACCUGAUCGGCCGAGUCAAGAGUUCGCUGGUCGUCGUCGGCCGAUCCAGGGACUUCUAGCAUAUGGCGAUGGAGCUUGAUUGCUUCAUGGGCCAGGUUUUGUCUCUCUUGCUUGAACUCUUCGUCGUCAAAAAGUGCAACCGCGAAGGAAAAGAGACUAUUGUUGUGAGUAUCCUGCUCCUGCGAAAGAAUAAAAAUAACAAUACAAAUUAGCCGACGAUGAUGGGAAAUCGGCCGAUUUGGGUGACAGGUCUCUUACCUCUUUGAAGCGGAUUUCUUCUGCUUGCGCUGGCGGGAGUGCUACCCUCGGCUCGGGAACUGGCGCGACCGGUUCAUCAGAGGAGGAAGAUUCGACGAUUAUUGGUGCCCUGCUCGGGCCGGCCUCCUGGAAAGGUACGAGAAGCGGGUUUUUAUAAGCAUGUAGAUGGACAAAUAAGGGUUAUGUUAACAGAUAUAUUAUGAAAAUACUUUCAUCAUAUAUAAUUGUUUCAAUGUAUACUGAUAUAUUUCUGUGAUGUUUCUAGUCCGAGUGUUAUUGGAAUGUAUGUCAAUGUCCUCAUAGAUAUAAGGGAUCAGAGGAUUUAUUCAAUAAGUUAAAUCAUGAGACAACAAAAGGAGUAGUAUAUUGUCUUGUCGACACCAAGACCCUAUUUGUUUGAGCUUUCUCCCAGCCAAAAGCCCAAACAAAAACUUAUGCCAACUUCUCCACUAGGAUUUUUUUAAAGCUACCCCUCCCCCGUAAAUUAGAAGCAACAAGAAGGUGGAAAUGUGGAGGCCUUUUGAGAUGUAGAAAUGACUGUAGGUAUGGCUAUUGAUUGUAUUUGAAUAAACAAAAGCCUAUACAAUAUAGAUUUGAUUCAACCAGUUGAAUGAAAUCACCAUGCAGAAUCAAGCACCAAAAUUCAUCUAGACUACAAAAAAGGAUAUUGAAUGACAUCAAAGACUAAUUGGGCAGAACCACCAAGUGUUCACAGCUUCUCGAUUAUCGGUUUCACACGGACUGAUUGCAAGGGAAUAAACAUCUGAGGAGGAAGUCGUUGCUCCUUCAAAUACUGCAGCAUAGAAUAAAUAUAAUGAAUGUCUGCUCAUUCAGAUGCACCUGUGGAAACUAAAUGAAAGAAACAAAAACCAAAAAAAAA
rnacentral:lncRNA from 1 species